rnacentral:lncRNA from 1 species
CAGUGGUUUCAUAACUUAAAAAUACACAUGCGUUUAAACAAGAUCUCAUCUCUGGUUAGAGUAAACUGUUAAGACUUAAAACUUACUCAUUUACCUUUCACCAUGGGACUUGUAACCGUCACUUCUGUCUUGAGUAGUUAAAAGAUAGAACAGUCUAGUCAAGCACCAUGUCUCUUGUUCUUCGAUUAACUAUAGCUCUAGAGUUUUUGCAGAUUUUCAAAUAAAACUCAGAGAUUCCUUGUAUGACUCUCUCUAGUCUCUCUUUUGUGGUAUUUCUGGAUCCUUACCAAGGCAGUAAAGGUGUAUGCCUUCUCUCAAAGUAUGUGGUAUUUUUGGUAUGAGGCAUAGUGAUAUUGCCUUCUCUCUCACCCUACUCUAAUAAAGUUUUGAUAUCUGGAGCUCAUAGGUGGGAGACAGCUAAUACAUACUUACAAGACAUUUAUUGCAUAGUCAAACCAUGGAUCCAGAAGAACAAGUCAAUAAGUCAAAUCAAGAUGUGCAUGUGUGGCGAAUGAAUGGUGUAUGGUGAUGAUGGUGAUAACAAUGGUGAAAGUCUAAUUCUACUUUUGCUCUUUUGAGGGGGUACAUACCUUUCUUGCUCUUUUGAAACUUUUCGAGGAGAAUGAGAUGCUCUAUAUUUUAUUUUUCUUUUCUCUCAGGUGGGUAUCUUAUACCCCUAAUUCUACUGUCGGACACUUGUCCAUUUUUACCUCUCGUCUCACUUUUUUUCUUUUCUUUCGAGGUUCCGGGCACUUGCCCCUUUUUAUUUCCUCGUAUCUCUUUUUUUUCUCUCUUUCUUUUUUUCUUUUUUUAGAGCACUCAUCUCCUGAAAUAAUAUAGCAAGUGGUAGUAACCAAGAUAACUUGAGCAUUUAUUUCACAGGGGAAAACAGAAAUAGGAGAAUGUUUUUGGCUAUUCUCUCCCGGAUUAGGAGUAGAAUAUUUUUGGGUGGUUCUGGAGAUGGAAAUGGAUGGAUAUAUGUGGAUGCGUACUUCUGAAGUAGAAGUAGCAUGUAUGAGUGAACGUGCAAAUGAAUCUUGAUUUUAACCACAUGACAAGCUCCUAAGGGUCUACACAGCUUGACCACACUCAAUGCUCAUAAGCAGUAAAAAGUAAAUGUGUGGUUCAUAGUCUAACAAGCAUGUAUAUAUGGCUGUGGUAGGAAUUUAAACUCUCAUCAUACAGGAACUCAUCAUGCAACAUUUUAAAGAUUUUCAAAGAUAAAAUUCUCCAGAAUUCUAGCAUCUCUAGGAAUAGAUAAACAGCAGCUCAACCUUCCCAUAUCGUAUCCGUUAACAACUUAGACUUUAGAUCAAGUUCUCUCCCCACAAGUUCAGGUUUAGAGCAAAUCUUAAUUAAUAAUAGUCAUGCCUAAACUGGAGAGAGAUUUCAAUUUUGAGAACCAGUCAUGGCAGAGCAACUAUUCAUCAUUUCCAUAUGAGAGCUUAUCAUGAGGGUUCAUAGCAGACUUUAUUUAUUUAUUUAUUUAGCUAACUAAGCAAAGAUAUCUAAGAACAAAAUCUUUAUUUGGGUUUUUAUGAUUAUGCAUCUUUUUAUUAUUUGAGUAAAGUAUAAACGUGAGUAGAAUACUUAGCUGGAUAAAUGGGGGUGCUCUCCCCCAAGCUGGAUUUUGACGUAGUUUCUUCUAAUGUAGCUAGCAAGUGGUGGAGAUGUAAUUGAAUGUCAGCAGCACCCUGACAGCGAUUAGGAUGUCCUCCGUCUGCUAGUCUUCUUUGAUCCUUGAAUUCUGUGGAGCUCAAAUAGACAACAAAGCUUUGUGGAACUAGUUAAGUGUUAGCAUAAAUAUCUAGCCUUUAUCAUGUUGAGCCUCCUCAAUAAAUAUUACUCUCUUUAGUAGGAUCAUAAAUUUAUUUUUAUAAUUUAAUUUUUUAUAGGACAGGAAUAUACUUAUUUUAUUUUUACGCCACCACAGUGAAUGUACUUAUGGGUUUUAUGCCAUGAGCAUACUCACAUAGGGCUUACUAUUUUUAACAUUUUUAUUUUCUUUUCAAGAUGAUAUGAACCUGAUUAACUAAGCAAACUAUUUUAAAUAGUUGAAAGGAAAAAGAUAACUACCAAGUUUACCUCUUGGCAAGGCAUUCGGUGUUUUUAAGUCCUCCAAACGGGACUCUCCAUAUUCUCAGUCGUCCUGGGAUUCGCUGGAUGGCAUAGUCGGUGGUUCCGGUGGCGCUUCCUCUUUGUGUAUAACUAUCUUCUUUCUGCACACCUGACUCGGUGCUACGGUCUCCUCAGGACAGUUCUGUUCAAGCUGUAUGUCUUCAGACCUUACGACUUCUCCUUCAUAGUCUGCCCAUCCGUCCUUGAUGAUUUGCCUCCUCUGGUUGCGGUUGCGUCGUAUUCUUCUUGCCCUGACCUGCUUAGAGUCUUCAACUAUAUAGUUAGGGUCAGUAAAAUAGCAGCGUACCUUCUCAGAGGGGAAGUGCAUGUGGACUUCUCCAGUUCCAAUGUAGAUGAUUGCUUUAACAGUGCUGAGGAACGGUCUUCCAAGGAUGAUGGGUGGAUCGUACUUGUCUUCUCCCAUGUCAAUAACCUUAAAAUCAUCUAGAGCUGAAUGUAUGUUGGUUGUAGGGACAUGGUUCCAUGUAGGAGCUGAUAAGUGACUGCGACCAUUAUGUUGACGUCUGACCCGGUGUCGCAAAGCAUCUUCUAGAAGUUGUAACCAUCAAUGGAGCACUGGAUGCUUAGCAUACUUGGGUCGUCCUUUUUGGUUAGGAACGGUGACUUAAGUCGACGAUCUUGACCUCCUUGAACUGCAGUGACCAUCUUUGCUGACUUGGUCCACACUUGCUUGUUCCUAUUCCUCCUGUUGGUCCUCUUCCUUGAUUCACGUUGGGAUUGCUUUAAGAUUUGUGUAGUCUUAUUCUUGAAGGAAAACGUCUCCUUUCUCCCCUUGAGGUAGAAACUGAUCUUGGCAGCACUAGCGUAGAUGAUAGCUCCCGAGGUGUUCAGGAAUGGCCUCCCUAGGAUGAUGGGUGCCCUCUCAUCAGUAUCAGUCUCUAUCACCACGAAGUCUGCUGGGGCGUACAAGGUACCAACUCAGACGCAGAGGUUCUUCAACAUUCCCGUUGGGAAACUUAGCAUACGAUCUGCAAGCUGCAAACACAUGGUUGUUUCUAGGAAAGGAUGUGUAAAGAAUUUUUCAUAGAGUACCCUGGGCAUAAUGUUGACGCUAGAGCCAAAGUCGCAGAGUGCUUUUAGGAAGUCCACCAUGCCGAUGGAGAUCGGGAUGACGGGGCGUCCUAGAUUGUCUCUCUUGACCGGCAGAAGGUCAGUAAUUACUUCCACAACGGGGUUACUCCAGUAGUUAUGUCUUCAAGCAUCUCAGGGCAGUGAUUGCGUGAGUGUCCAGUAUCUCCAGUGUGUUUGUGCUCGUAGAUCUAGGUUCUUCACUUGGUGGAGUCUAGGAGUUGUAAAAGUCCUUCAUAUUUUGCUCGAAGUGUACCUGCUCAUAGAGACAAGGCAGAGAUCAAGUGCAUGGGCUCUGUUGGUGGAAAACACCAACAGAACCAAAAGUGUAUUUGCUCUCUCUAAUCUUAAGCAUAGUGAGCAAGACAAAAGUUGAUGGAUAAUAAGAUCAUGAUUGUAACAUUUAAAACAUUUGUCAGAUCAGAUCACUCAACCUAAUGGAAAGAUAAUCUAUCUAUACCUAUCUCUUUUUUUUAUAUAUAUCUUCCAAAGAUUGUGUGUGCAACAUUUAGUGUGGGAUCACAAAGGUGAAAGGACUAAACAUAUUGAAUCGAUUAGGUUGGUUAAUCUAGAAUUGUAAAUCAUACAUGUUUGUCUCUUUUAUUCAUGUGAAUGCCAGAACCAAGCAAAAGCUUAUAGAAGUGAUAGUCAAGUACCUUAAGAUGUUACCUUACUUGAAGAGUGAUGGUACAGUAUUACCUUGUGGAAGCUUUCCUUUCUUAGUGGUUGUGCAUCGUGUUUGUGGCACCGUCCAUGGAUCAUCUCUUGUGAGCUAUGCCUUCCUUGUGUAGAUUGUUAAACUUCAUGUGUCUCUCUCUUUGUCUCCAAUGUGAGUUUGUCUCAGGACUUCCCAGGUCGAUAUUGAAUGUUUUCUUGCAGGGGUUAGUCCAACAAAAUAUCCAAUAUCUACUAUAGCAUACUAUCGGCUCAAAGAUCAACCUAGACACCAUGUCUAGUUUGAUUUAAGAGGGCAUUCUAUCCUAAGCAUCAUGCUUAUUUAAACUCCCUUCGAAGUAAAAUCAUCAGCCCUAAACUAAGCACCAUGCUUAAUUAAGAGAUAAAUGAAACUACUCCAAACCUAGACAUAUACUAAAGCAAAUAAAGGUAGCAUGAGAGCAUUUGUAGAGAUCUACUCAAGUGGAGAUGAAGUAGUGUGAUUAGUAUUUAACAAACUGAGCAUGUCUCAAAGGUAGGGACAACCAACAUAGCAACAUAGCAAAGGAUGUUUUUAUGUAAAGUAAUCCCCCAAGCUUGAAUUUUGCAAAAUUCAAGUUUGGAUGAAUUUAAUUUAAUGUUGCAUGAUGAUUGGUUGGACAUACCUUGUGCUUGUCAUUCAUCCGAUCAUCUUGCUCCAAUCGUGGAAAGGUUAGUGACAAGAAUACCCGAAGGAAUAUUUUUACAAUUAUACUUAUAUGCUCAACACACAAGGUAAUGUUGCAAAUAAUUAAAAGCUCAUGUUACGAUCUGAUCAGUGCUUAUUUUAGGACACUAAGCUUGUCCUUGGAAAACCAUCAAUUUAUGUCAGUGAAGUGGUUUCCUCUCCAACGCUGACCUAUAUCAAGAUCGACUUAACGAGAUCUGCAAUAUUUCUUAUAGACAUAUGCAUCGACAACCGCCCUUUUAAAGUUUUUAUAAAUAGAAAGGAUGAGGGGGUUGGAGAUCUCGAAUGUGGUGAUGUUGGAGAGACCAAUGGAUUGUGAAGAUGUUGCAUAUGAGCAUGGAGUAAAUGAAGUGGCUAUGAAAUAAAUUCCAUGCUCAAUAAUGCUUAGAGUGAAAUCCAUGUGGUAUGGUAAAAAUGAUAAGGUGAGUGUGGUAAAAAAGGAAAAGAAAAAGGAUACACGGACGACUUGGUUCGAAACUAGCACAGCUACCGUUCCCCGGCAACGGCGCCAGAAAGCUUGUUGGGUAUUUUAAACGCAAACAGAAAAAUCCGCAAGCGCACGGAUACCGAUGUAGCCUUCACCCGGGAGUAUUCCAGAGUAUCGAUUUUCCACAGAGAACGUGAGUGUACUAAUUAAGAUCCAAGAUCGCCCAAGGAUAACUAUAUAACUAUUUUUGGUGGGAAGAGAGGAAGUUUCCUGAGAGUUCUCUAGUUGAUCUAAGAAUCAAGAAUUACUUCAAGAUUAUCUAUAUCGGGACAUCAGAGCACUAACCACAGAAAGAGAUGAGAAGGGGGCUAGGAAGGUCUGACUACGGUCCUACAAACACCGAUCCGAACGUGGUGGAAUACGUCGACAGUUAGGGCUGUCACUACCCUAAGGCUACCACAACAAUCCGCAGGAUUGGGUGCAAUUCCAGGUAAUCGCAAGACUAAACACCACGUCUAAUCUAUUAAUUACUACUCUAAUGUUUCAAAGACUAGAGCACUUGAUGCAAGCGGGAAUCCAAUAAAUAACUUGAAUGUAAAUAAAAGUAAUUAGAGAAUUCAGGAGUUAUGAAUUGAAGAACCUGGAGAACGAUGAAGAACGAACCAGAUGCUGCAAAAGUACAAUGUUGAGGAAGAUCCGAUAGAUCCGGCUCCUCCUCCGCUCUCCUCUUCUCUCUCACUAUUUUCUAGAUUACAACUAGAACUAACUAGAACUAGAACUAGAGGAACUAGAACUAGAACUAGAUGAACUAGAACUAGAUCUAGAUGAACUAGAGGUAGAACUAGAAGAACUAGAGGGAUCCUCUCUACUUGGAUGAAGAAUUGAAACCCUAGCUUUGAUUCUGUAGAAGAGGUAUGAUCUCCAGGGGCUAGGGGGGUCUGGUUUUAUAGUCCCUUCAAGUGAAUCUGGGCCGUCGGAUCAAACCGACAUUGAUCGUGUGGUUUUCCUUGAAGUAUUAGGUCGGUGGAGCAUGAUCCCCGAACUUCACCCUGAUUGGUCCAGGGGGGAGGGCGGGCGCCCUCAGGACUAGGGCGGGCGCCCUGUCCCUGAGGCCUCUCGUCUUCCGCUUUGUUCCCGUGGCUUCUGGACUCUUCUAGAUGAUAGAAAAUUGCACGGCACGUUAAUAUCUCUAUGUAAACCCGACGUGUGGGCCUUUCUUCCGUAUUUCCUGAUAACCCCCUGCAGAAAUAGACAAACACCAAAACUCGUGGAAUUCUGUCAGAUAAAACCCUAAGUCUAGGUGUUGGUUGCAUUUGGAUCCUUUUCCAUGAUUAAUUGAUGGUUAAUUGUGAGCAUUAAGGACCGUCAACAAGCUCCCCCAACCUUAACCUUUGCUCGUCCCUGAGCAAAGAUGAACUCAAGAGUUUCUGCAGUGGUUUCAUAACUUAAAAAUACACAUGCGUUUAAACAAGAUCUCAUCUCUGGUUAGAGUAAACUGUUAAGACUUAAAACUUACUCAUUUACCUUUCACCAUGGGACUUGUAACCGUCACUUCUGUCUUGAGUAGUUAAAAGAUAGAACAGUCUAGUCAAGCACCAUGUCUCUUGUUCUUCGAUUAACUAUAGCUCUAGAGUUUUUGCAGAUUUUCAAAUAAAACUCAGAGAUUCCUUGUAUGACUCUCUCUAGUCUCUCUUUUGUGGUAUUUCUGGAUCCUUACCAAGGCAGUAAAGGUGUAUGCCUUCUCUCAAAGUAUGUGGUAUUUUUGGUAUGAGGCAUAGUGAUAUUGCCUUCUCUCUCACCCUACUCUAAUAAAGUUUUGAUAUCUGGAGCUCAUAGGUGGGAGACAGCUAAUACAUACUUACAAGACAUUUAUUGCAUAGUCAAACCAUGGAUCCAGAAGAACAAGUCAAUAAGUCAAAUCAAGAUGUGCAUGUGUGGCGAAUGAAUGGUGUAUGGUGAAGAUGGUGAUAACAAUGGUGAAAGUCUAAUUCUACUUUUGCUCUUUCGAGGGGGUACAUACCUUUCUUGCUCUUUUGAAACUUUUUGAGGAGAAUGAGAUGCUCUAUAUUUUAUUUUUCUUUUCUCUCAGGUGGGUAUCUUGUACCCCUAAUUCUACUGUCGGACACUUGUCCAUUUUUACCUCUCGUCUCACUUUUUUUCAUUUCUUUCGAGGUUCCGGGCACUUGCCCCUUUUUAUUUCCUCGUAUAUCUUUUUUUUCUCUCUUUCUUUUUUUCUUUUUUUAGAGCACUCAUCUCCUGAAAUAAUAUAGCAAGUGGUAGUAACCAAGAUAACUUGAGCAUUUAUUUCACAGGGGAAAACAGAAAUAGGAGAAUGUUUUUGGCUAUUCUCUCCCGGAUUAGGAGUAGAAUAUUUUUGGGUGGUUCUGGAGAUGGAAAUGGAUGGAUAUAUGUGGAUGCGUACUUCCGAAGUAGAAGUAGCAUGUAUGAGUGAACGUGCAAGUGAAUCUUGAUUUUAACCACAUGACAAGCUCCUAAGGGUCUACACAGCUUGACCACACUCAAUGCUCAUAAGCAGUAAAAAGUAAAUGUGUGGUUCAUAGUCUAACAAGCAUGUAUAUAUGGCUGUGGUAGGAAUUUAAACUCUCAUCAUACAGGAACUCAUCAUGCAACAUUUUAAAGAUUUUCAAAGAUAAAAUUCUCCAGAAUUCUAGCAUCUCUAGGAACAGAUAAACAGCAGCUCAACCUUCCCAUAUCGUAUCCGUUAACAACUUAGACUUUAGAUCAAGUACUCUCCCCACAAGUUCAGGUUUAGAGCAAAUCUUAAUUAAUAAUAGUCAUGCCUAAACUGGAGAGAGAUUUCAAUUUUGAGAACUAGUCAAGGCAGAGCAACUAUUCAUCAUUUCCAUAUGAGAGCUUAUCAUGAGGGUUCAUAGCAGACUUUAUUUAUUUAUUUAUUUAGCUAACUAUGCAAAGAUAUCUAAGAACAAAAUCUUUAUUUGGGUUUUUAUGAUUAUGCAUCUUUUUAUUAUUUGAGUAAAGUAUAAACGUGAGUAGAAUACUUAGCUGGAUAAAUGGGGGUGCUCUCCCCCAAGCUGGAUUUUGACGUAGUUUCUUCUAAUGUAGCUAGCAAGUCAACCGAAGAGAAAGGGUGCCAAGAACACCAGAGCGCAAGCAAAGCGCCAAAGAGUAGCAACGCCUUCUUCCCCUCCAGUAUCUCCAAUUCCAGUAGAAUCCUCUCCUUCCUCCCCAGAAGUCCAAACACAACAAGUGCCAUCUCCUCCAACUCCGCUUUCCUGGCGGCGGCGUUGUUCAAGAGCUCCAAGAUCUCCAACGAAGCCCCUUCUUCACCAACUCUGAAGCCUUCGAUCAUCCCCUUCUUCGCGAGGAAAUGGCCAUCAACUUCACCGUCCCUGAGGUCAGUUCAUCAUCCUGUUUCUUGUACCUUUACCAUAUCCAUGUCUGUUCGCAAUUUAUUUACUGAACAUCUCUCUUUUUCUUCUUUUAUUUUUCCUUUUAAUACCCAAAACCAUUAGGAUCUGUCCAACAAAAUAGUCAUCCCUACCGAUCAACCACAUCUUCAGUGUCUUGGUCCACUAGGGAAUCCAGAUCCCACAGAUUUAAUCAACGCAGAAACAAACCGGAUCCCUUUUAGAGCCGAGAAUUUUUCUUUAGAUCUGUGGAAGGAUACCUUUCGCUCCUGGCCCAGCCCUACCAUAGGAUGGAAGGAUUGGUUUUUGAGAGUCAGCCACUCAAACGAAGUCCAGUGGGGUGAGAGAAAACUGGAUCAAUGCAUCAGAUUGUCCAUUGUCGAUAUGCACAGGAACGAAUCACUGUUGAUAGCUGCAUCAUACUUCUGGUCAGAUACUUGAAUGCUUUCGUCUUUGGCCAGGGCCCUGCUUCCCCUACUCUUGCCGAUGUAGUUAUGCUCACCGACCUAGAUGUAUCCUCUACCGACAGCACCCACUUUUUUGACACCGCACCUAGUGCCAAAGUGGAAACUCGCUCCAUCGGCGGCUGGUCAGGGUACAUUUAGAAAUACCGUAGGACGGGGCCCGUCAACAUAAAGGAACAAACCACCUUUCUGAACAUAUGGCUGGACAAAUUCGUAUUCUGUGGCCGAUCGGCAGGACCAACUUCUGUCUAUCUAUCGGCAGCAGAGAGACUGGCUAACGGUGGCCGAUUUCCCCUUGGCCGAUACUUGCUUGGUGCUGCCUACCAUCUCCUCCACUAGGUAGCUAAGAAACUCCUGCUCGGCCAGUCCAUCGGCAACUUGGGGGGUCCCUGGUGGUUCAUCAAUAUGUGGCUCAGCCUCCACAUGCACAGGCGUCUUGAGUUUCACCUAUUCGCACAGCAUUUCCCCAGAGAUAUAGCUAAGAAUCAUGAACUGGACGAAGAGGAAUCGGCAACUCGCCCUCCUCUAAACUUUGGCGAGGCUGUCAUAGUUCUGCCCGGCACAGGAGGCAAUGCAGACCAAAUCAGCCGAUUCUUCCAAACCCUGUAUGAAGGCCUAACCAGAGAGCAGCGAGCAUGGCUACCUUAUGAUGAUCCACACACCAUGUUUCCUUUGGUCUUCCAUCCAUUCAACGAUGCUCUCAACAAGGAUCAUGAUGUGAUGAUGACAUUGAUCACUCCUAGGGCUAUACCAGUAAACUUCUUUGGUAGUGGGAAAACUUCUAGCCAAACCUAUGAGUUUUACAACCCAUCGGCACUAGCUCGCCAAUUAGCUUUCGGCCAGCUACCGAUUGCACUCUGUUAUGCCGAUGUGAUAAAACCCAGGGAAGUCAUCACCAACCUUCUCGAGUGGAUUCGAGUAGGCCAGCUGCCAUCGAGUGCCGAUACAGAUGCCGAUUUGUCAGAGUGGGUCCUGGCCGCUUUUAUCACUCAGGCGUACAAGCAAUGGUGGGAAGAAUGGAAGGAGCACUUGUUCUGCAGAUCGGCCCUCACAUACCAUGGCAUGAUUGAUCCCCAUUACAAGGUCCCCGAUGACACUGUAAGUACCUCCAAACCGAUGUUCCAAUUCUUUCAAUUUUAUUUCCAUUAGUAACUCACUUCUGUAUCAUUUUGUAGGUUGACAACACUCCUCCAUCGGUCAGUAGGAGUGGCAAGCCGAUUAAUCUGUUCCCAUCAGGUCCAAUCUCUUCAAUCGGCAACAACGCUCCUACUCUGGCCGCCGUCAUGCGCCGAGGCGUGCGCCUCAAGAAAGUGACCACCAAGAGGACCAAGACAUCUCCAUCGGUAGCCGCCUCCACCUUAGCACAGGCCUUCAAGGUGAUUGUUAAACCUUUCCAUUCAUAGUGAUUCCAUUUUUACAUAUACUUGUACUCAUAAAUUUUUUCCACAUCAGCAGACCGGCGUAUCGGCAAAGACUAGAAGCAAAAGUGCCGAUGCCCCCCAGUCCAGUCAACCGAAGAGAAAGGGUGCCAAUAACACCAGAGCGCAAGCAAAGCGCCAAAGAGUAGCAAUGCCUUCUUCCCCUCUAGUAUCUCCAAUUCCAGUAGAAUCCUCUCCUUCCUCCCCAGAAGUCCAAACACAACAAGUGCCAUCUCCUCCUCCCAUGCAAGAAGCACAAGUGGAAGAACCCCAACUAGAAGAGCCUCAACUAGAAGUACCUCAGCCAGAAGACAUAUUAGCUGAUGUGCAUGAACAAACUGCCGAUCCAGCAGGUUCCAUUAUAGCCUCGGUGGUUUCUUCCAUCCAGACAAGUACUGCUCUUCAUCAAGGUAACAUACUUUUAUGAGAUUACUGCCGAUGAACUUAUUUUCUCUGUCUUACAAUUAUCUCUGUUGUUUUCCAGCCGACAUAGUCUCAUCGGCAACUUUGAUUGAUCAGCCUACAGCUCCACCAGCAUCUUCCAGUCAAAGGCGAGAGAUCGCCUUGAAACUAGUAAGCUAUUUAAUCUCCAUCAGUAUUAUUUACCGAUGCUUGAUCAUGGAAUGACUCACUUUGCUUUCUUUUUCAGGAACAAGACUCCCCCGACAGCCUGUUCUCCUUUGCCAUUGACAUCUCUGAAGAUGAAGGUGAAGAAGCAAGCUCUUCUCAAGCAGUCGCGAUCACAUCGGCAGAGGUCAGGGUGAAGCUGGAAGAACUAUUGGCUCUGCUUCAUCAAGACACAGCCCAACUAGUUGAUGAUUCUGAUCCGGCCAAGGCUUUAUUCAAGACCCUGAGAGGCCAAAUCCCCACCGAUGCCGAAGAAGUUCUCUUCCAAGCAGCACACCUAGAGAGCCGUCAACUGCAGUACUAGAGGCCUGCCCAGCGCCUUGCCGAUAGAGCUGCUCAGACUCAGCUUUCUGAGGAGAUGAUGACAGAAAAACUCCUUACCGAUGAGAAGCACAAGAACAUCGGCACCUUGAAGUCCUCAGGAGAGGAACUAAAGCACAAGAUCUCUGAUCUGUCAGCUAAAAGGGAAGCCCUGUUGGCAGAGCUCAAGUAAGUAGAAGAAGCCUUGUCCCAGGCUCAACAAGAGGAGAACCACCUGCCUGAGGCGAUCAAACUCCUUGAGCAAGAGCGAAAUGGUCAUGGACGUAAAGCGCUGUAGUUGAAGAAGAAAUUGAAGCCAGUGGAAGGAUCUGCCGAUGAAGACAUCAAAGAGAUAGAAGCAGCCAACCAGAUCCGCCUGCGCGCUAUAUCGACAAUCCAGGCGUUGCUGAACAUAUGAAUUCUUCAUCGGCAACAUACUUGCUUCUUUCUACUUUUCAAACUUCCUGAUAUUUAGUCUAGCCGAUAGGCCUGUUAUCGGCACCUUUUAAAACAUUAAGUCUGGCCCCAGACACAUUUCGAUCCCACCGAUAGGAGUGUUAUCGGCGUCUAAACUUUUAUGCAUCGACCAAUAUACUGGGGUAGUAUUUCUUCAGAUAUUUGCCAUUUAAUGCUCUGGGAAAUUCAACUCCUUCGAGAGUUUCUAAAAUAUAGGCAUUACCAGGAGCCGAUCGACUUAUCCGAUAGGGACCCUCCCAAUUGGGAGACCACUUCCCAAACUUUGAACUUUUAGUCCCGAUCGGUAAAAUUAAUUUCCAUACUAAAUCUCCAUCGGCAAACUCCUUAGCUUUUACCUUUUUAUCAUACCAUCUGGCAACCCUCUUCUUAUUCUCUUCUAUGCUCCUCAAGGCCUUCAGCCGAUGUCCUGCUAGAUCAUCUAACUCAUCUGUUAUCAAAGUAGCAUAAUCAUCGGCAGCCAAUUGAUCUUGAAGAGAUAGUCACCUAGAUCCAGUCUUGAUUUCCCAAGGCAAUACUGCAUCAUGCCCAUACACCAACUGAUAAGGUGAAACCUUGGUUGAUCCAUGACAAGCCAUUCGAUAAGACCAUAAAGCCUCAUUUAACAAUGUGUGCCACCUCCUAGGAUUUUCUUCAACCUUUUGUUUAAUAAGCUUGAUAAUUCCUUUGUUGGAUGCCUCGGCCUGCCCAUUAGCUUGAGCAUAGUAAGGAGAAGAGUUUAAUACUUUAAUUCCCAUACUGAUUGCAAAUUCAUCAAACUCCCCUGACGUGAACAUGGUGCCCUGAUCGGUAGUAAUUGUCUAAGGAAUUCCAAAUCGGUAAAUGAUGUGUUCCUUCACAAAAUCAAUCAUAUUGGCUGAUGUAACUUUCUUCAAAGGAAUAGCUUCAACCCACUUAGUCAAAUAAUCGGUGGCAACUAAGAUGAACUUAUGCCCCUUGCUGGAUGGUGGAUAAAUCUGGCCGAUCAAAUCAAUAGCCCAUCCUCGGAACGGCCAUGGCUUUAUAAUAGGAUUCAUAGCCGAUGCAGGCGCCCUUUGAACAUUGCCAAACUUUUGACAUCCUUGACACCCUUUGAAAUACUUAAAGCAAUCUUCAUGUAUAGUCGGCCAAUAAUAUCCAUUCCUCCUAAUCAUCCACUUUAUCUUAAAAGCCGUCUGAUGUGCUCCACACACCCCUUCAUGGAUUUCUCCCAUCAAACUCUUAGCUUCAUCAUCACCUAAGCAUCGGAGAAGAACCCCAUCAAUAGUUCGAUAAUACAAUUCAUCUUCGAGGAGCACAUACUUGGUGGCUUGAAACCGAACCCGUCUCUUGACUUUCUUAGAUGGAUCCCUCAAAUAAUCAAUGAUUUCUUUUCUCCAAUCAUCGACACCGAUUGCCGAUAUUGCAUUAAUCAUAGGCUGAUAUCCCGAGGCAUGCUGAUCUAACCGAUUGGCCUCUUCAUUAUGCAAUCGAGGAACAUGCUCUAAUCGGAAAUUUUUGAAUUCCUUUAACAAUUGUAUACUCUGUUCGUAAUAAGUUAUGACAACUUCACUUCGGCAUUCAUAGCUUCCAGCCAAUUGAUUUAUAACUAGCAUAGAAUCCCCGAAGACCUCAACAGCUUUAGCAUGAACUUCUCUUAAUAACUCCAAUCCCUUUAUUAAAGCUUGAUACUCAGCCUGAUUAUUCGUCGACGUGGCAACAAUCGGCAAGGAAAACUCGUACCUCCUUCCCCGAGGGGAAAUUAAUACUAUGCCGAUUCCUGCCCCCCGGUCACAUGUGGAUCCUUCAAAGAAGAGCGUCCAAGGUACAAUUUCCAAAGCCUCCACUGCACCGCAAUGUUGAGUUACAAAAUCGGCCAUAAUCUGUCCCUUAACUGCCUUAGCCGAUUCGUAACGCAGAUCGAACUCCGAUAGUGCCAAAAUCCACUUACCGAUCCUACCACUCAUGAUCGGCAUAGACAGCAUGUACCGGACCACAUCAUCCUUGCAGAUAACAGUGCAUUCAGCCGAUAGCAAGUAGUGCCUUAACUUGAUACAAGAGAAGUACAAGCACAAGCAUAACUUCUCAAUGGCCGAAUACCUGGUCUCAGCAUCAUCAACCUCCGGCUUAAGUAAUAAAUCACACGCUCUUUCCCUUCAAAUUCUUGAAUUAAAGCUGAACCGAUGACCAUCCCAUCGGUAGACAAAUACAGUCUGAAGGGCUUCCCUUGCUGAGGUGGAAUUAGAACUGGAGGAUUCACUAAAUAAUUCUUGAUUUCAUCCAGAGCCAAGUGUUGUUCUUUCCCCCAAACAAACUCUUGAUCGGCCUUCAAGUUAAGAAGAGGACUGAAAGCACAAAUUUUACCAGACAAAUUAGAUAUAAAUCUUCUGAUAAAAUUUACCUUGCCGAUCAAGGAUUGAAGCUCAGUCUUUGUUGGUAGGGGCAACUAUCUUGUUGAUGGCAUCAAUAGAUCUUCGACUAAUUUCAAUCCCCCUUUGAUGCACCAUGAAACCAAGAAACUGCCCUGCCGACACACCAAAUGCACACUUAUUCAGAUUCAUUUUCAAACCAUGCUUCCUUGUGCACUCCAACACCUUUCGUAGAUCGGCAAGAUGCUUUGCGAAGUCUCCAGACUUAACCACCACAUCAUAAAUAUAAAUUUCCACCAGCUUGCCGAUGAACUCAUGGAAUAUAAAAUUCAUAGCCCUCUGAUAAGUAGCACCAGCAUUCUUCAAACCAAAGGUCAUGACUAUCCAUUCAAACAACCCAACAUGACCAGAAUAUCUAAAUGCGGUCUUUGGAAUAUCAUCUUCAGCCAUGAAUAUUUGAUUAUAUCCUGCAUUGCCAUCCAUAAAGCUAAUAAUCUGAUGCCCAGCCGCAGCGUCAACUAACAGAUCGGCAACUGGCAUUGGGUAGCCAUCCAUCGGUGUAGCUUUGUUAAGAUUCCUGAAAUCAAUACAGACCUGAAGCUUCCCGUUCUUCUUGUAAACCGGAACAACAUUGGAAAUCCACUCGGCAUACCGACACUGCCGAAUAAAUUUGGCUUCAAUAAGUUUAGUUAUUUCGGCCUUGAUGUAAGGAAGAAUAUUACGAUUACAUCGGCGAGCUGGCUGCUGAUGUGGCCGAAAUCCAGACUUGAUAGGCAACCGAUGCUCAACAAUUGAUCGGUCUAAACCAGGCAUCUCAGUAUAAUCCCAAGCAAAGCAAUCUUGAUAUUCCUUUAACAAAUCAGUUAACUGUUGCUUACAUUCAGGAUCCAACUUAGCACUACUAAAUGUAGGUCUAGGUUUAUCACCACUACCUAUAUCUACUUCUACCAAAUCAUCGGCCGAUGUUAACCCCGGGCCUAACUUUCCAUCAUCGGCGAACCUAUCCAUUAAAAACCUUCAUCAGAACCUACUGCUUGGAUCAGUGGAAUCUCAUAAUCGGCAACCUUGAGAAAAUCUCUUUCCCAAGCCUCUCCUGAAAUGCAUCUAGUUCUUUCGUAGGUGUCUGCCUCUGCCGACGCAAUAACAUAGGAAGAAUCUCCCGGGACAACUUCAAUCUUGUCACCUACCCACUGAACCAAACACUGGUGCAUUGUAGACGGGAUGCAACAAUUGGCAUGAAUCCAAUCUCUUCCCAACAGUAAGUUAUAAGCACCCUUUCCACUGAUCACGAAGAAGGUUGUUGGCAAGGUUUUUACUGCCGAUGGUCAACUCAACACAUAUGGCUCCUUUGACCGGAGACACGUUGCCUUCAAAGUCCUUGAGCAUCAUAUCGGUCUUGGUCAAAUCCUGAUCUCCUUUUCCAAGCUUCCGAUAUACUGCAUAUGGCAUGAUAUUGAUAGCAGCUCCACCAUCGAUCAAAAUCUUGGUCAUCGGCUGACCAUCCACCCUUCCUUUGACAAAUAGAGCCUUAAGAUGUUGUCUUUCAUUGUCGGCAGGCUUUUCAAAGAUGGCAGUCAUUGGAUCUAGAGCCAACUAAGCUAUUUGGUCGGAAAACUCUAACUUAUCAUCAAUAGACGGCGCCAAAAAUUCCAUCGGCAACAUAAAUACCAUGUUGACAUCUGCCGAUGGCCCUUUUCCCUUAGUAUCGGAUUGCUGAUCCCCAGAUUGACCAGAGUUCUCGCCCUUGCUUAACUCUUCUCACCUCUCGCGCUGCAGUCUCCUUUUCUGUGUCCUGGUCAACCCAUCUGGACACCACGGAGGAAGUUGCUGCUGCCUCACCGAUGGGCGAUGAUUCUCCCUUGACUCCAUCCGGUAAGUAUUGGCAUCUCUGCAGAAAAUGAACUCAUCGGGAACCCGCGCAUUAGCCAUUUCUUCAAGCUCUUCCUGGUUCCUAGGAAAAUAUUGAACACGAUCGCCAAGCCUGUCAUGCGCACUGAGCCUGCCCCCCAGUCGAUCAUGAACGGACACCCUUCCUCUAAUCGGCCCAUUAAACCGCCGAUCAUCAUCGUGGUGGCGCCGAUCAGACCUGUCAUACCAAUCAUAACCGUUGCACUCAAGGCAAUCUCUGACAGUAGGAAGCUUGAUAUUCUCCUCCCAGCAAUGAAUGAAGAACGGACAAUUCGAAUGAUCUAUGUGCCGAUUCCACUCUUGUCGGCGUCUUUCCUCUUCCCUAUUGUACUCUUCCUGUCGGCGCCGAUACCGGUCCUCACGCUGCUGCGAGGUUUCCUGAGGCCUUCUGUGAGUUAUCACAGCACCAGAUCGGGGAGGCCUUCCUGAGUUGGCUCCUUCCUGGACCAAGCCUUUUCCCUUGGCAUCGACAGUAGUGAUCUGAUGCUGAGGAUCCACCGAUGCACUUCUUUCAGCCGCUUCCGAUGUUAAUACCUUGGCCUUUCCCUUAGCAUCCAGCAUAUUUGUGGGGAAAGGGUGCUGAUCAAUCUUCAUUGGCUUCUGAGUUAUGGGGCUGUCAAAUUUGAUCCUCCCAGAUUCUAUAGCCGAUUGCAGCUGCUGUCUAAAAACUUUACACUCAUUAGUGUCGUGAGAAGUUGCGUUGUGCCACUUACAAUAUUUCAUCCUCUUCAACUCCUCAGCCGAUGGGAUCACAUGAUUGGGUGACAAUUUGAUUUGACCUUCUUGAAGUAGAAAAUCAAAUAUCCUAUCGGCCUUAGUGAUGUCAAACGCGAACUUCUCUGGCUCUUUAUGUCCGAAAGGGCAAGACAUCGGCUUUUUAUUUUUCACCCAUUCUGCCAAGCCGAUGACUGGUUCUUCAUCAGAGUCUGAGCUUGCCGCUUCAUCUACAAAUGAUACCUUCUUAUUCCUUGCUCUCUUGGGCUCAAAAGGCUUGAUAUCUUGAUCAGAAAUUCUCUACACCAAAUGGCUUAAGCUUUCAAACUCCUGAGAUGCAUACUUGUCCCUGUUAUGUGGCAACAAACCCUAGAAAGCCAAAUCGGCUAGCUACCGAUCAUCCAGAACCAGGCUAUAGCAUUUGUUCUUGACUUCCCAUAUCCUCUGCACAAAACUUUCAACCGAUUCAUCAUUGCGUUGCCUCAAUUUGACCAAAUCGGUGAUCUUCUUCUCAUGGACACCGGAAAAGAAAUAUUUGUGAAACUGCUUCUCUAGAUCGGCCCAAGUAACCACUGAGUUGGGAGGUAAUGAUAUAAACCAAGUAAAAGCCGAUCCAGAUAAUGAUGACGAGAAUAAGCGAACCCUUAACUCGUCCCUGUUAGCAGCUUAUCCGCACUGGAUGAUGAACCUGUUGACGUGCUCCAUGGUUGACGUGUCAUCCUGUCCAGAAAACUUAGUAAAAUCCGGUACUUUGUACCGAUUUGGAAGCGGGAUCAAAUCAUAUGCGGGAGGAUAUGGUGUCCGAUAAGAGUAAGUGUUGACUUUGGGUUUUAUCCCAAAUUGAUCUCGCAUCACUUUAGCAAUCUUAUCGGCCCAAUAAGCAUCGGCAUCUUGCCGAUGAGGCGGUUGCGGGUCUGGCAUCUCCUGGUAAGCUUCCACGUGUCUGUGCGGCACACGAUCUGCAUGGAACAUUGGGUUAAUCAUUUGGCCACCCACCUGCUGACCACCAAACUGCUGUGCAUCGAUCUGCUGUCCGUCGAUUUGCUGCCCAAGAUUCAUCGGCUGAUUGGGUAGUCCCUGAUUAUGGAACCCGGGGUAGAUCUGGCCUUGCUGGAACCCCGUAGCCUGAUAAUUCUGUUGGGGCAUUUGCGGAAAGACUUGCUGCCCAAGCCAUCCACUAUUAGCAUUCAUCGGCAUAGGUCCUGCCGAUGACUGGUAAUUGGGCAUCAUCAUUGAAUUGACAUACCCUGGCUGAGUCAUAAACCUUUGUUGCAUCAGCAUUGAGUCUGCCGAUGCGUUAGGCAUCUGGAACAUCGGAGCUUGAGAAUUCCCAAUGUAAGGUCUUGCAGUAGUAGUUGUGGUAUACUGGGGACUCUGGUUCAUCGGCAUAUUGGGAGGUGCCGAUGCCAUAGGAGUCUUGCCUUUCAUAUCAGCUGCCUGAGACGUGCCAGACGUCUUCCAGUAUUCCGGGGGCAUACCGAAACCCCACCAGUUAGGAGGAGGAACUGGUCCUGACAUUGCCGAUGCCAAUAGAUCUGUGGUAAGCUUGAUCUGUUCAUCUGAAGUUGGUGGAUUGGUUGUCAUCGGCGUAGAUUGUGCAUUAGUGACUCCUAACAUGCUUGGAGGAACAGGAAUUUCCGUGCCCGCAGCGGCUGUAGCUGCCGAUGGAGUUGUGACCACCGGUGAUCCUGGCUGAUGAUGAGAGGGGCCCACAUAAUCUGGUGGUAAUUGUCCUUCCUUGAAAGUUCUGGCCACGGCAUUGAAAACCGUAUUGGACAGUACACCUGCUUGGUUGAUUAAAGCACGGUUGAUAGCACUAUCAACCAUCUCUUGAAGUUUACCAGGAUUGGCUUCAAAAGUAACCUGCCGAGGGAUCGGCAGUGCAUCUUUCUGGAUCACUUCGCCGAACCUGUUUAUACUGAAGGACUUCAGGCAUUGCUGCUUGUAAUCCUCCAUGGCUUUAGCGAUAGAAUGCUUCUGCUCCUCUUUGAGGCUAGCUUCUGUCACGGGGAUGACGUUUUCCAAGUCGAAAUCGCUAGUCGCCAUGCCGAUCUUGGUCUUGAAUCUAGUCCCACCGGGCGUGCCAAAAGAUGUGUUGAUGCAAAAGCUGAUCUGCAAACACAAAGGGCAAAUACCCGAUUUAAACGUUAAGGCAUGCCAGCCGAUUUGACCUUACUAUCGGCAAAGGUGAUAACUCGAAUACUUUGGUCCCGACAACAGCGAUGCACCCGGAUGCCACGGCCAAGAGGUAUUCGUGCGGAACUUGAGAACAUGCCGAGCUUAAGUCGACGAAUCCCUAAGAACUCGUAAUAAAAAGAAAAAGGUAUGACGAAGUCGUCGAAAAAGUAAAUGCUGUAAUAUGAGUAGAAACUUGUGUUUGAUUGAUUGAUAGCUUCAUGUUACAAGGCCCUAGGGUCUACAUUUAUAUCCUGCUCAAAAGAGCUUCAACCAGACAUGACUAAAACUCAAAUUCCAAAUUAAAUAGAAUCCGUGUACAAAACAAUUUAAACAACUAAGGAAAACAUAAAACUAUCUUGCCGUGACAAGCUAGGACACCACCACGGACCGCUUGGUAACCUCCAAGUCUUCCUUCCACGUCAUCGGCAGACUCCCCAUCGGCAACGAUCAAUACUGGCCAUCGGCACGAACACAUCACCAUCCACGGACUUAGCCACAUCCAGCUAUCUCUUCAUCGGCAACUACCCUUAUCGGCAACUCUCCCACAGACCAGUCACAUUUGCCUUCUCCUUGCCGAUCCACACUCUACCGAUCCUGGGUACGUGUCCAAAAACGGUGUCAACAUUGGCCAAAACCUCCAACAUAAACUUUGUUCAAAAUGUUGUUCUAAACAUGAUUAAAGUAUUUUGGAAGACAAUGUACACUUGGAUACAUUGGUCACCUACCAAAGUCACUCAAUUCAAGCCACACAAGUAAUUUAAUCAUACAUGGGACACAUAAGUUGACAUGUGAUCAUGAUGUAUGCUUAUGAAUGAGCAUGAUCAUGCUUAUGUUGAUGCAAUACUCAUGGUUAACAUGCAAGCUAACACUAGGAGUGUUACAUUUAAGGUCGGAAUUCCUUCCUCCCUUGGAGAAUUUUGGGGUACUGAUGGUUUAGGAUCGAUAUCUAAAGUUUGGGAUUAAAGUGGUUGUAAUUUGGCUAUCGAAACUUCCUCUUCUUGUAUAGGAACUGAUUCUUUCUCUUUCUCAGGGAUAUAAAUGCUAGGAGACUUUCCACUCAUUAAAUCAAUCAAAUUCCAAGCUUCACUAGCGGACAGGCGGUGGAAGGAUCCUCUAGAGGCCGCAUUAAGGGUUUGCUUAUUUUCCCUACUAAGGCCCUUAAAAAAGUGAAUUAGAAGAACUUCUUCUGGAAUAGAAAGCUUUGGGCCAGUGAGAGUAAGGUCAAUAAAGCGGUCCCAUGAUUCACCAAGAGAUUCUUCUUCUAGUUGUCUAAAAGAAAGAAUCUCGAUCCGAAGAUCCGCCACUUUGGAGAUCGGAAAAUAUUUAAAAAGAAAACUACUGUAUAGCUCCUUCCAAUCUCCAUGAGCACUUCCUAUGUUGAGUUUAUACCAAUGUCUAGCUUUUUCCGUUAAAGAGAACGGAAAGAGCUUCCAUUUAAGGGUCUCAUCAGACAUGCCUUCAAUGCAAAGGAGGUCAUAGACUUAAUAAAACUCCUUAGGUCUAUGUAUGGGUUUUCCUCACCUUCUCUUGAGAAAGGUUGUUUUUGAAGAAAUUCUAUGUAUUCCGGGCUUAUCUCAAAACUAGAUGUGAUGAUAGGCUUUGAAGAUUUUGGUGGUUCGAUAUGUGUGCCUGUAGGUCUAUGAAACUGAUAGAUAGACAUGUUUGCAUUCAUGAUAGACCAAAGAUCAAGGAUUAGAUAAGAAAGAAUAGCAGGGAUGAGGCAAAGGACAAAAGGAAAUAUAUUAUUAUUUUUAUUAUUUUUAGAAAAAUGAUUAAGCUAGUUCGUAGUCAACUCAGCAACCGUUUCCCCAGCAACGGCGCCAAAAAGCUUGUUGACACUUGCUAACACCACUUGAAUACUAGGUUGUCAUCUCCAGCAUGGCACUAGAGUGUCACUACAAGAAAUCUGUUAAUCCAUGACGAAAAAGUUCUGUCAUGGAUUACCAAAAAACCGUCACUGUGUAGCAUCUGUGAUGAUUUCGAAGAUCGUCAUGGAUUGAGCGUCAUGGAUUGAACCUCAUGACGAUUUACCGAAAACCGUCACAAAUCAUCGUAAUCGGUGACGGUUUUAAACCGUCACGAUAGAGCCCAAGGCCUAGUUAGCCCAGCCCAAGUCCAUUUUUUUUGACAAGAAAAUAACCGUCACAAAUUAACUGCCACAUCAUUAUGGAUGGGCACCAACAUUAAAGAUGGGCCAUUUUUAGCCUGCUUGCAGCCCAUUUUCAAUUUAUUUUUAGCCCAACCUGUUUAUAUUUUAUUUUUAGCCUAUUUAUUUUCUAGUUUUAGCCCAUUUUUUAGUUUAUUUUUGCAGCUGACUAUUAUAACACAUACAAAGUAAAUCAAAUUAUUAAUUAUUUUAUUACAACAUAUAUUAUCAAACAACAUAUGGAUUGUAAUAUCAUAACCGGUACACAAGUCCACGUAAAUCAAUAGUCAAAUACAAAAUUAGCAUAUGCCAUCGCAUUUCAAUAGUACCAGAUACAUUAUGAUAUUUUUUUUGUAAUUAACAACUAUUCAUAUGAGGCACCAGCAGGAUUGUUCGAUCUCUUCAACCAGCACAUGUAGACGGCAUAAUCAAGUUCCUUCGAUUUUCCUGAAAUUAAAAUAACAAGUUAGACUACUUGUAGAACAGCACUCACAUAAAGCCGAUCUAAUUGGACGAGUGAACAAAUACUAACUUAAAUGUCUUAUAUAAAUGUCUUAUACUAGUUGUAGAGUAGCUCCUCAAUCGUAGGUAACCUGUAUGGUGUGUAUUACAGAAUCAAACGUAUGUAUCAGGCAGAAGAAAAGAAAAGCUGAUAACGAAAGCUAAUUAAGCAGUUUACCUUAUUUUAGUUUUAUAUAGGCAAAAACAAUAGGCAAAUUGUUCUAUGUUUCUCGUUCUAGGAAUAUAGUGCUUUCAUUAAAUUUUUAGAAAGAACCAAAAGCAAUAUAAGAAGUAAAAGGAAGCAAUCCUUAUCGAUUGAUUUUGUUCUUCUCGCCAAAACAAAUUAGACGUUCAUUCGAAGCAAGUGAUAUGGCAAACAAUGGCCUUGCAUAACAUACAAUUAGUGCUUCCUACAAAUAGGCCGAGUGAAAAAAUCAAAUAGAAAAUCACUCACCAGGCAUCGCAGGGUGUGGCCGUAAACACCAAACCCCAUGCGUCCACCCAGUCGUGAUGUGCGCAUAGCUACCGUGCCCGUGCCUAUGCCACCGGUCGGGGCUGCUCUAGAUCUUGCCAUGGAUGUACUAGAUCCGGCUAGCCACCUCAGUCUCCCAAGGUGAUCUGCGCUGGUUGAGAUGAGCACGGAGAGCAUCAGCAUGGUGAGCGAAGCCAAAGAGGAUGAAAGACGAGAGGAAAGAUGAGGACGAGUACUAAACCAGAGCGAACGCCCCCACCUCUUGCGGCAAUACGGUUCGCCCUCACGUGAGGGCUCCGGCGGCAGUAGCCCCUCCCAUACUAGCAGAGGCAGCUGCGGCCACUCCCCCCGCCACCGGCGUUGGCCCCUCCAUCACCGGCCGUGGCGGUGGCCCCCGGCAAGUAGCAGCUCAUGGAGGCCACUGACAGCGCAUCCGAGGAAUGAGGAGGCACCCCAAUGGCAAGGGCGACGACUCAUAGAGAGGCAGCUGUGAUGGUGUGGGAUGGAUGACGGCGGCUGUUGUGGAGAAGGCAGCGGGGUGAAAGGCAGCUUAGGGUUUGCGUUGGUUUUAUAACAAGCCAACUGAAUAUCAGCCAUCCGUGUAUUGAUCGGAUGGCCAGGCAUGAGAUAGACUUGGAUUGGGCUGAAUGCAAGCAUCAUUAUCAGGCCCAACAUGGGCCUAACCAAUUUCGUGUAUGAUUUUUAUGAACUUUUUAUGUGUCGUUACAGAUUACUCGAACUUUUAUUUUGGCAGCUCUAACGAAAAAAAGUAAUAAUAUCGCAAAGUGGUCCAAAAAUCCUAAAAAUUUGUAUGUGGACAUACUAUGAAUGUAUAAGCUUGCCAUAAAAUUUUCAAACCAUUUUAAUAAAGUGGGACUGUAUUGUUCACAAAUUCAUGCAUCUCUUACAUAGUUACUUAUGACUAUGUGAGAGGUAUGUGCAUUUAUCAACAAUGUGGAGUAUUGCAUUGUUAAAAUAAUUUGGAAUUUUUAUGGAAUGAUUAUACACUAAAUUCAUGUUGUCAUGCAAGUUUGUAGACUUUUCUAACCAAUUUAAGAUAUUAUUACAUUUAUUGUACUCUAAUUAAAUGAAUAAUUAUAAUAAUAACAAAAUUUGGUCAAAUAAUUUUGCAAAUUGACAUAAUAAUAUAUUUUGGGUCGAUAAGAAUUCCAUAAAAAAUCCAGGUAAAUCUGAUAAGAUGGAACUAUACAUUCAUCACAAAUAGAAACAUCUCUCAAUUAAUCAUAUAACUAUGAACGAGAUUUUCCCAUUUAUAACCAAUGUGCAACACAACUUUAUUAAAAUCAUUUGAAUUUUUUAUGCAAUGACUAUGCUCCAAGAUCAUAAUGUCAUGCAAGUUUGUAGAUUUUUCUAACUAAGUUUAGAUAUUAUUACAUUUGAAAGUCCAAUAUAUGAGAACUUCAUAAAUAAUUUUACGACCAUAAAUGAAUUCAAAUGAAAAGAUCAUAAACUACAAAGUUUUAGAUCUCAUCGAGAUCUAUAGAUUUGAUUUGAGUCAUUUUCCCAUAUGAGUUUUCUUUGAACAAUUUGAAAUUUUGAUUUUUAAACUAUAAGAACUUUAAACAAAAGUUUGGGAUAAUAAAUGAUUACAAAUGGAGAAGUUGUCAACUAUUCAUUUUUAGAACUCAUUGAUAUGUACAAAUUUUAUUUUCAUCAUUUGUUCAGUUGAGUUUUUCUUUUGAACAAUUCAAAACUAGAUCUGCAGAUUGUUGGCACUAGCUAACACCACUUAGAUACUAGGUUGUCAUCCCCAGCAUGGUGCCAGAGUGUACAAAGGUAUUUAUAAAUGUAAAGGCUCUCUCGAAAAUAAUCUAUUCUAUCCGCAACCGCACAGAUAAAAUACCUCAUUGUAGCAUUUCACCAGGAUAAGUAUUCUAGGUAUCGUUAUUUAUAAUUUUGCUCAAGGGAUGAAAUUAAAAUAAGGGGCAAAAUCUAUCAAGGCAUAGACUAGAGAUAAACUUGCAAGAACAUGAUUACUAAUGAGAAACUCGUCACACAGUCACUUACUUUAGCAGGGGGUAAACCAUAAAGAUAAUGAUAAUGAAUUAUAAGUUCAUGGGUAGAUAACACAGCGAUUAGAAAAUAGACUACUCCUCAUAUAUGUAGGUGAUGUCGGAUUAGCUAGAGAAUGGAUUCUAAGUUAUCUACUAACUACUAAGUCAUAAUCUACUCUAGUUAUCUACAAGAUCAUAUAUAGCAUAAAAGACUCUUCAUUCAUGUAUAAGGAACAUUGAUAAAGUAAAUCAGAGCAUCGCAUGACUUACUCCACAAUACCGGUUCUGCCUGUCCUAUCAACGGAGGGUGGACUAUAUAAGAAUCAACGAAGCUGUCACUAUCGCGAACUACCACACAACCCGGCCAAUAGGAUACAUUUGCAGAUAAAUAACAUCUAAGCACCACGCUCACAUGUGAUCUAUCACCUAACUCCCUCGCGUCAAGAGCUAAGCGCUUUGCAAACUUAUACAUGAACUCAUUAUCAAUUAGAACUAUAUCAAAUAUAGAACUAGAGCAAACUAAGAACAUAAUAAUUAGAGACAUAAUGCAAUUAGAACAAAGAAUUAGAGAAAGAUAUGAAUAAUACCAAUCUUUAUUACCGAAGAUCCGAAUCCAGAGCGUAGUGCUCUACUUCUCUAAUUGCUAUCUAAUCAAACCUCUAAACUUGAAGGAUUAGGGAGUAGCUAAUUCUAAUUCUCUGUGGGAGAGAAGCUCUAAACCCUAACUUUGAUGGCUACCUCUGCAUAAUGAUUUCUUCUCUUCUCCUCUCUCCUCCAGGGGCCAGGGGGUCUGGUUUUAUAGUCCCCUCAAGUGAACGUGAGCCAUUGGAUCAAACCGACAUAGAUUGUAUGGUUUAGAUUGAUCCUUUAGGUCGGUGGAGUUUAGCCCCAAAGCAGAGUCCUGAUUGGACUCCUAGCCUGGGCGGGCGCCCUGCCCCCGAGCCCGAUUCCCUUCUCGUUCGUUCCCCUGGCCUCUGGACUCUUCUAGAUUGAGGAAAAUUACGCGGCACGUAAUUAUCUCGUUGUAAACAUGACAUGUGGGCCUUCUCUCCAUAUUCUCUGAUAACCCCCUGCAGAAAUAGAUAAACACCAAAGCUCAUGGAAUUCUGUUAGAUAAAACCCUAAUUCUAGAUGUUUGUUUUAUAUUGAUCCUUUUCCAUGUUUAUUUGAUUAUUAAUUUGAGUACUUAAGGACCGUCAACAAACUCCACUAAGCUUACCCUUUGCUCGUCCUUGAGCAAACAGCUAAACUCAGACGGAUCAGGAGUUGCUUCGAUGUUUUCUUUCCUGACAGGCACACAUGCUUUUACAUAAAAUUCUUCCAGAUUAGAGUGAAGUGUUAUGGAGCUUAGAACCUGCACUUAAGUCUUAAGUAAUUGAAAGACAAAAUAGUUAAGUCAAGCACUAUUCCUCCUGUCUAUACUUCACCUUUGUUCCAGAGUUUUUCAUAAGUUUUCAAAAUAAAACUCAGAGUUCCCAGCAAUGAUUCUCUCAAGUCUCUCUAUAUGUGGUAUUUAUGGAUCCUUACCAAAAUAUCACUUUCCUAUAGCUAAUGGAAUAUUUAAGUGGAGCUCAUAGGAGUGAAAAACAGCUCAUACAUAUGUUGUCUAAUCGAGCCAUGGAUCCAAAGGAACUCAGUAUAUAAUUAAAUUAAGAUGUGCAUGUGUGGUGGAGUAAAUGAUAGUGAUGGUAAAAAUGUAUAAGUAAUAAUAAAACUUGGUUCUCAUUGCUCCUCAUAUUGCUAUUUCUCCUCCUCUUUGAUCUUUGCUUUGGGAGAACAUGGGCUAUCUUUUUCUUCUUCUUUUUUUCAGGUGGGUAGUAGAUACCCCUAAUUCUACUGUCGGACACUUGUCCAUUUUUUCCGCUCAAGUGGGCAUCUUUGUACCCCUAAUUCUACUUCAGACACUUGUCCAUUUUUACCUCUCGUCUCACUCUUUUUUCUUUUAUCGAGGUUCCGGGCACUUGCCCCUUUUUAUUUCCUCAUAUAUUUUUGCAUAACCCAUGCCUCUUCUGCAUUGAAUCUUUUUAGAGAGAGAUAAUAACAAUAUUUGGGAGAGUGAGUGAUAAUAUUUUUAGCAAUUUUAAUGAUUGGUGAUGAAUGCUGUGGUAGAUGUGUGCAAGUGAAUAUCUAAAUUUAACCACAUGAAAACCUCCUAAGGGUCUACACAGCUCGAUCAAACUCAAUGUAAAUAUAGUAAAAGAUGUUAUAGCAAGUAUGGCUGUGGUAGGUAGUUUUGUUAUGCUAGGAACUCAUUAUGGGAUUUGUAAGUUUUUAAAAUAAAUCUCUAGAACUUAGUGUAGUAGGAACAAGAUAAAUAGCAGCUCAAACUUUAUAUUAUACCUUUCUCUUACCUAGACUUUAGUUUUAUAUUUUCCAUAGAUAGUAAUUUCUGUUUUAGUAAUUCCUGGAAGAACUCUAAUAUAAAAGCUAGGUACUUGUAAGUAAGCAAACAGAGCAACUGUUCAUCAUUUCCAUCAUGCAUCUUUUUGGUCUUUUUAUUUUUCUAGAGAUUAAACUUAGCAGGAAAAAUAAAGCACACUUAUCUACACACUCUUUUUAUUUUGUUUUCAUGUUUAUAAAAUGCAGUAAAUUAAAGCAACAAAAUAUUUAUUGGAUUUUCUAAGUUUUUCCUUUUAAGAUAAAAUACUGAAAUAGAAAAGAAUAAAUAAGUAGAGCAAAUAAAAACUUACUUGAUAAAUUGGGGAGGAACUCCCCCAAGCUGGAUGUUGACGUCGGUCUUACCCGAUAUUCCAGAACCGCAUCAUAGUUGUGAUGUUGUCGUUCAUUGUUGUUGUAUCUUGUCUCAGCUCUUCUACUGCAGCAGCAUGGUCCUGGUUCCAUUUUUGUUGCUCUUCCACGAGUCGUCCAUGUUCUGCUUGCGUGUUCUGGAUGUCGAGGAUAGUGUUGUCGGUACGAGUGAAGAAAGCACCGGCCUCUUGGUAGUAGUCAUUCGUGAAAGCGUAGGAGGCGUCGGAGUAUCGUCCUGCAUCAAAUUGGGGCGGAGGUCUGGAUCCUGAAGCUCCAUAUGGAUCAGUGGAGUACCUGCCCGUAUGAAAAGGCGGGUUUGUCCACUGGUGAUCUCGGCUCUCCGGCCAUGUCUCCUCUGUUGGCUCUUGUGGUUGCGCAUGUCGAACCCAUGGGUCUCGAAGGACUCGAGGGUUGUAGUUGCAAUAAUGCAGGUGCGCUGCUUCUUCUGGUCCAUGGUCAGCACCAUACCAGGUGCGUUCUCGGUGAGUGGUCAUCCUUUCAGAUGCCACUCGCUGUGGAGUUCUCUGGUUCACUGGUGUUGCUGCAAUCUCAAUCAAAAAGUUUUGAACAACGUAGAGGCCAAGGUUCGGGUUAGGUAACCAAAUCUUGCCUUUAUCAUCAUAUAGCAUAUACAUUACAUUCCCCUCUUUCUUUAACAUCCGAGCUUGUCUAAAUGUGUCAUAGCCAUGAUAAAUUCUUAACUCAUUUAUAAAGUCCAACGAUGAGUUUUCUAGUAAGUGAAGAUUAAAGGCUAGACGAGUGAUAAGUGAAGUACAUCCUACUAGUCCCUGAAGACUAGGUACACUAAGCCAAUGAGAAACUAAUAGUGUAACAGGUGAAGUGGGUACUUUAUUAAUAGCAGCAUAUAAAAGUUGUAAAUCUCCUACUCUUACUUUCCUAAUAUCAUCACGAUAGAAAAGAUUGUACCCAAGCCAUUUGUGGAACAUCCUAAGAGUGGGGUGUUCCAUGUCACUGGUUCGGGCUUGACUAUAAAAAUUAUCUCUAGAUAUUUCUCUCCAAAACUGGUGUCUCUCAAAGUUAGGUAAGUCGGAGUCAAUGUUCAGGAUGCAUUUUGAAGAGAAACCAAGAUGGUCGCUCAGUUCUCUCCAAGACAACAUAAUCUCCUGUUUGAACAUCCGAAAAACAAUUCCCCCCUCAUAGUAUUGUAAAGUGCAAAGAAAUUCGAGGGUGAGAAGACGAGAACCCAGCUCAGUUAUAGUCCAAAAAUUUGUCCAACCUAUCAUCUGCAAAAAUAAGUCAAAUUCAGUGUCCAUACCUGUUUCUUGUAGUAAGAUUGGAUCGAGAGUAGGGGUGUGAAUGAAAUCUUUGUUCUUCAAUUGCUGAUAGACUUCCUUCUCUCUUCGGGUCUUCAGUCCAAGGUCUCCUAUCUUGAGAAGGACCUUGACUUGCUGACUUGAUGAAGAUGACGGAGCUUGUGUGGGUGUCGGGUCGACGCUCAUCUCUGAUGGCUGUGAGGAGUGUCGGGCUGAACUCCUUGUACCAAUGUUCUUGAGAGCCUUCCCUACAUUCUUCACCUUCUUAAACAUCCUGCAAACAAAAGUUGGCAAAAACACAACUAGUGGAAAAUGUGAGAGAAAAUGUUAGUGGUUAGCUGUCCGGAAUGUCAAUAGUCCAGGGGUUAUUUGUUCAAGACAAGUUUCUAUUUUGGUAGAGCCUCCCCCUAAACAACUUUUACUUCCGCUUAGACAACGGGAUCACUACUUGCUAGGUGAUAAACACUCUCUCAAAAGAACUCCAAACCUUCUCUUCCACUCUUCUCUUUCUCUCUACUCUCUUCUCUUUACUACAAGAGCUCCUUCUCGGGAAACUAAAACUUGUGUGGUUUUCUGGAGUGUUUGUGUGAAGAAGAUGGAGGUAGAAUGUGGCUAUUUAUAGGAGGAAGAGGGGAUAGGGCGGGCGCCCUGAGUAGGUGGGCGGGCGCCCACCCCUAGUGUCCAUCCUGGGUGUGCCUCCUCCACUUGCUUCCUUGCUUUGAUCUCACGCGGAAUAAUAUUGUGUUGGUGGUGGUUGGACGGUGGAAAGAUGUCAGGUGAGUGGAAACAUAUUGGUGGAUGAAAUUAUGUGAUGGGAUGUAUGUGAGGUGAAGUGUAUGACAUGUGGGACCCAAAGAGUGUGGGUCAUGCUUCUAGAAGGUUACUAUAAUUAAUUAUAAUGCAGGAAAAAUCUAUGACAAUUGAAACUUAAUUAAAAUGAUAAUGGAAAAUAUUUUUGUGCCUCCACAAUAAUUAAUAAAUAUGGGUUGUUACACACCAUGAAUAUUAUUUAUAUGGGGCUUUUUGAUUAUUAUAAUUAUGCUAUGAAUAUAUGUGACUAAUGCAAGAAUUAAUUAUGCAAGAAUGAGAAAAUUAAUAAUGCGGAUAAAUACCGAUUUACCUCCCGGUGUGGGUUUGGGAUUUUUAGGUCCCCCAAGCUGGACCUCCAAAUCUUUUAAUCUUCUGAGUUACCUUCCUCCGAAGAUGGUGUCUCCAGUGGUUCUUCAUGAACUUCCUUCACUGUAGGGUCUCUCUCUGGUCUGGGUUUGAAUGUGAAGUGUUCUUCUUGUCCGUUUAUGUUGAACUUGAUUUCUCCCUUCCCAACAUCGAUGUGGGCAUUGGCAGUGCUCAGAAAUGGCCUUCCAAGGAUGAUGGAUACUUUUGAGUCAGGACUCAUGUCCAGUACUACGAAGUCUAAUGGCACUAGGAAAUCUCUAUUCUUGACUGGAAUGUUUUCGGUGAUGCCCAACGGGUGUCGAACCGAUUGAUCCGCUAGUUGUAGGCACAGUGAUGUUGGUUCUAGGGUCGCAUGCUCAAGCUUUUUGUAGACUGAUGCUGGCAUCACACUGACACUUGCUCCGAGAUCACAAAGUGCAUUGUUGAAGUGUUGGUUUCCGAUCGAGCAGUCAAUAGUGGGACAUCCGGGAUCUUCCUUCUUCUUUGGCGGCUUGUUGAGGAUGGCCGCACUACAUUCUUCUGUCAGCUUGAUAACCUCAGUGGUGGGCAGUGGUCUCUUCUUGUUAAGAAUAUCUCUGAUGUACUUUGCAUAUGUAGGUACCUGUAUGGCAUCGAGCAGAGGUAUGUUGACAUAUAAUUUCUGAAUGACCUCUACAAACUUACCAAACUGCUCAUCCGACUGCAGCCCUCUGUUUCUUCUGGGAAAUGGCAAAUAGUUGGUGUCGUAAAAAUCUUUCCUCAUUUCUCCAGUUCUAGGUGGUUGUAGCAGAUCUUCUGCUUCAACUGGGCUUUCUUCUUCUAUCACUGCUGGUUGCACUGGUGCUGAUGUUCUUUGUUUCUCUUCUGGGUAUGGGGAUCUCUGGUAGCUUUGCCUCCUCUAGUAGUUAUAUUCUUUACCUGCUCAAUGUUAGUAGCAACAGGCAGUACAGCAGCUAACUUUAUUAACUUAAGCUCUACCCUUUUAUUAAGAGUGUUUUGCUCAUCAAAGGCAGUUAGUAGAAAAUCCAUUUUAUUGUUUAUAUCUUUUAGAGAUGAUUCAUUUGUAUCUAGCCUUUGUUUAACUUCAUCAUUAAUUUUGGUUUGUUGAGCAAUUAUCUCUUUUAAUGAAAGUUGCUUGAAAGUAUUACAUGAAUUCAUACCUUUGCUAUUGGGUUGACUCGAAGUUGGUUGAUAUUUGUAUGCUGUCUCAAUAGCCCUUUUAUCUUCUUUGAACUUGGCCCUCUGGUCAAUCCAAUGGAGCAAAUUUUCCAUCUUAGUUGAUAAUGCAUUUACUUCUUCUGGUAUUUCUUCAGUUUGAUGACAUUGUUGAGCUUUAUCUUGGAACCAGCUUUGAUUUUCUGCUAUCUUAUCCAAAAGUAUCUCUGUUUUUCCAGUUGUAAGCUCCAAGAAUGAUCCUUUAGCAGAUGCAUCUAGGCACUGACGAGCCUUCUGGGUUAAUCCAUGGUAGAAGGUCUGCAUAAGUAACCAUGUGGCCAUUCCAUGGUGGGGACAAUCUGAUAUGUAUCCUUGAAAACGCUCCCAUGCUUCUAAAAUGGCUUCUAUCUUCUGCUGCUGGAAACUGACAAUAUUUCCUCUUAAGGCAGUUGUUUUGCCUAUAGGGAAAAACUUUGAUAGAAAGGCAUCUGACAAGUUCGUCCAGUUGUUGAUGUUAUCUUGAUGACUGCAGAACCACUUCCUCGCUUUCCCUUCUAGUGAGAAUGGAAAAAGGCGAAGUAGUAUGACGUCUUUGUCAACUCCAUUGAUGUGUAUUGUGCUCCCAAUCUCUAAGAAAUUCUGCAAGUGUGCACUGGCAUCUUCAUGUGCCUUUCCACUGAAUUGUGUAGCUUGCACCAAAUUGAUGAGGCUUGACUUGAGCUCAAACUCGGGUAUUCCUUCUUCUACUGCAAAUCUUGGACCUGUUGGAAUGUUCUCAAGGCUUGGAGCAGAGAAUUCUUGCAAGGUCUUUUGUGCCAUAGCUUCAGCAAUUGGUAGCUAGCUUCUUCUUCUCUUGAUUGCUUUGGUUCUGAUGAUGAAGAGUUGAAUGUACACAAAGUCAAUCCUGAUAUACCCUGUAUAAAAUAUAAACAUAGAAAAACAACAGGGUGAACCUGCCAAAGCAGAGGUGCCUUGUUAUGAUUUCUCACUUAGUAGCUGUUUUUAUGCAAUUAUUUCUCUAUAGUCUACUCUAAUAUUUUAUAUGAAUAACCUUGACUGAUUUCCUGACUUUCCUUACCGUUCCUAUAUAUUACCCUUUUGCCUCCCCGGCAACGGCGCCAGAAAUGCUUGUUGACACUAGCUAACACCACUUAGAUACUAGGUUGUCAUCCCCAGCAUGGUGCCAGAGUGUACAAAGGUAUUUAUAAAUGUAAAGGCUCUCUAGAAAAUAAUCUAUUCUAUCCGCAAGCGCACAGAUAAAACACCUCAUUGUAGCAUUUCACCAGGAUAAGUAUUCCAGGUAUCGUUAUUUAUAAUUUUGCUCAAGGGAUGAAAUUAAAGUAAGGGGCAAAAUCUAUCAAGGCAUAGACUAGAGAUAAACUUGCAAGAACAUGAUUACUAAUGAGAAACUCGUCACACAGUCACUUACUUUAGCAGGGGGUAAACCAUAAAGAUAAUGAUAACGAAUUAUAAGUUCAUGGGUAGAUAACACAGCGAUUAGAAAAUAGACUACUCCUCAUAUAUGUAGGUGAUAUCGGAUUAGCUAGAGAAUGGAUUCUAAGUUAUCUACUAACUACUAAGUCAUAAUCUACUCUAGUUAUCUAUAAGAUCAUAUAUAGCAUAAAAGACACUUCAUUCAUGUAUAAGGAACAUUGAUAAAGUAAAUCAGAGCAUCGCAUGACUUACUCCACAAUACCGGUUCUGCCUGUCCUAUCAACGGAGGGUGGACUAUAUAAGAAUCAACGAAGCUGUCACUAUCGCGAACUACCACACAACCCGGCCAAUAGGAUACAUUUGCAGAUAAAUAACAUCUAAGCACCACGCUCACAUGUGAUCUAUCACCUAACUCCCUCGCGUCAAGAGCUAAGCGCUUUGCAAACUUAUACAUAAACUCAUUAUCAAUUAGAACUAUAUCAAAUAUCGAACUAGAGCAAACUAAGAACAUAAUAAUUAGAGACAUAAUGCAAUUAGAACAAAGAAUUAGAGAAAGAUAUGAAUAAUACCAAUCUUUAUUACCGAAGAUCCAAAUCCAGAGCGUAGUGCUCUACUUCUCUAAUUGCUAUCUAAUCAAACCUCUAAACUUGAAGGAUUAGGGAGUAGCUAAUUCUAAUUCUCUGUGGGUGAGAAGCUCUAAACCCUAACUUUGAUGGCUACCUCUGCAUAAUGAUUUCUUCUCUUCUCCUCUCUCCUCCAGGGGCCAGGGGGUCUGGUUUUAUAGUCCCCUCAAGUGAACGUGAGCCAUUGGAUCAACCCGACAUAGAUUGUAUGGUUUAGAUUGAUCCUUUAGGUCGGUGGAGUUUAGCCCCGAAGCAGAGUCCUGAUUGGACUCCUGGCCUGGGCGGGCGCCCAAGGGUUGUGGGCGGGCGUCCUGCCCCCGAGCCCGAUUCCCUUCUCGUUCGUUUCCGUGGCUUCUGGACUCUUCUAGAUUGAGGAAAAUUACGCGGCAUGUAAUUAUCUCGUUGUAAAUAUGACAUGUGGGCCUUCUCUCCAUAUUCUCUGAUAACACCCUGCAGAAAUAGAUAAACACCAAAGCUCGUGGAAUUCUGUCAGAUAAAACCCUAAUUCUAGAUGUUUGUUUCAUAUUGAUCCUUUUCCAUGUUUAUUUGAUUAUUAAUUUUAGUACUUAAGGACCGUCAACACAUAUUUUGGAAUGUUGUCUGUUUCUAGUUAAUAGCGGUAGGUCAUCAUACAUUCUACAGAAAAAGUUGUGUUUCAAUGAUUCGGUCCUCCAGGCCAUAUACUUGGAGGUCUCAUGGCCCAAACUUGGUGGCUCCAUUUUUUUAUUUGUGCCGAAAUAGAUAUUGGGUGCGCACGUCAGCAGCUUCGCUUUUUUUUGUGACUGUCAGCAACUUCGUUGGGCCAUGGCAGUUGGGCCUGGUUUGCUGCCACUAUACUCUAUAUAUAUGUUGUCCUAAAGCCUGCUCAUCCUAAUUUCGAACUAACACCUACACUAGUUGUUUGAUUCUUCGCUAGAAUUUGAUUCGUUGGAUGGAUUCACUGGAUGCCAAGGUCCGAAUCCUGUUUGCAGCAAGUUUUUUUUUGGUAUAAUGAUGACGGGUGUGGGAAAGAAAUAGAAAAAGAACUGGGCCGCUUGGUUGGACAAAAAAUGACUUACCGCAAGAACAACGUAGGAAAAAAAGAACUGGACCGCCUACAACGGACGCUUGGGCUGGCGUCCAACGAGAAAAAAGAACUUUGCCGAACAAGGGCCUUUUAUUGUUAUUAUAGUGAACAAAUUAUAAAAUGUAAGAUAUAUUUUACAUAUUCAACCAUGGUCGCAUGGCACAAUGGAAAUGCUUUUUGGUUUAGUCUUUGGUCACCAUGUUUGGAUGGCUUAGUGGCAAUGGUUUGUUUUGCUCCUAAUGAUCGUGAUUGAAGUACCCUUUGGUGCAAUUUAUUUCCUUUUUACCUUUCUUUUUUUAGAUACAUGUACUUACGAGAGGACCACUGUUUUUGCAAUUACAUUUUUGAAUUUCUUUCGCACCAAAUAUAUGAUGGGUCUUUUGUUUUAUUAGAGGGAUGGGUUUUUUAUUUUGGGCUAACCAGGGGCGGAUCUAGAAUUGGGACAGAGCGGGGGCUAAAUAGUAAAGCUUUAGAACUAAAACCUAGAGAUUAAUGGUAAUUUGAAGCUAAGUACUAUUGAUUCAAAGACAUAAAUCAGGCUUAGGGGGGCUGCAGCCCGGGCAGCCCACCCCGUGGAUCCGCCCCCUGGGGCUAACUAGAGUAUGACGAAUUUAAAAUUAUACACUGUGAUGAUUUAGAUAAAACCGUCACGAGUUAGCGGGCCGGGAAUAUCCAUUUGUGCACAUCCUUGACGGAAAAAAAUUAUUGUCAUGGAUUGUGUCUGUUAGUGACGGUUUGUAAAUCCGUCGCUGUGAAGCCGUCACAGAUUAACAGGUUUCUUGUAGUGUGUACUAUGGUAUUUAUACGCUCACAGAUAAAUCCGCAAGCGCACGGAUACCGUUGUAGCUUUUACCCGGUUAAAGGUUUUAUCGUAUCCACAGGAAAACAGGAGAACCAACUACGCUCUAACUUAACCAAGAUAGAUGGAUAGGUGUAAAUAGGAAAGAUGGUAGAGUUGAAUAAGAACAAUAUUAAAGGUAAAAUGAUAAUGGGGGAAUCUAGAGUAGAGCAAUCUAAUAUAUGGGUGAUAAUAGGAGAAUAGAGAGGAUAACUAGGGUUUCUCUACUUCAAAGGGUAUGUCUGUCUGUGGUGUACCAUAAGUAUAAAACAACACAGAGGAUGCUUAUACCUAAGGUUGAGGACUCCUACCAGUCCUCCUAACAGGAGGUGGACUACAGAGGACUACGUAGCUGUCACCUACGCGGCGCACCACAUGAUCCGGCUAACAAGGGAUAUCCACAAGUAAUCUAGGUCUAAGCACCACGCUUACACCUAUACUACAACUCUCACCUAUAGCGUCCUAUAGAUUAAAGUACUCAAAAGAGUUGUGAACCAGAACAUACAUGGAUAGUAAUUGCAUAAUGAAGUAGAAGUAGAUUACCAGAGUUAUCCCAUCAGCAAGCUUGAUUAGAGCUUGAUCAUGGCGAAGUACAACCGGAGGAAGAACCGACAGGCCGGCCUCUCCUCCAAUCCUCCCACACUCUCCAUCUCGCUACUAUCUAGAUCUACUCUAGUUUAGAGAUGAGAGGAGAGCUCUCAUCUCCAAACUCUAGCUUUUGCUCUGUCUAUGAAUAAUGAAUAAGGAUGCAGAGGUGUCUUCUCCAGGGGCUAGGGGCCUGCUUAUAUAGCCCUUCCAAAUGAACAUGGGCCGUCGGAUCAAACCGACCUUAAUCGCACGGUUUUUCUUAAUCCUUUAGGUUGGUGGAGCAUAAUCCGCGAGGCGGUGCCUGAUUGGCUGCCAGAGCAGGGCGGGCACCCUAAAGGGUAGGGCGGGCGCCCUGCCCCUGGGUCCGCUCGGCCUCCCAUUCGUUCCCGUGGCUUCUGGAGUCUUCUAGAUGAUAGAAAAUUGCCGCACACGUUAAUAUCUCUAUGUAAACCCGACGUGUGGGCCUUUCCUCCAUGUUUCUUGAUAACCCCCUAUAGAAAUAGACAAACACCAAAACUCGUGGAAUUCUGUCAGAUAAAACUCUAAGUCUGGGUGUUGGUUGCAUGUGGAUCCUUUUCUUUGUUUAUUUGAUAAUUAAAUUGGGUACUUAAGGACCGCCAACACCAACUUACCUAGGAAUCUUCAUCUUCAUCACUUGAAGUACACCUUUCUAACAUACAGUUGACCCCUGUAUGAAUGAAGUAACUUCUUGGGUGAUGAGAUUGAAGUAUUCCAGGCUACACUUGCUCUUAUAAGCAUGAGCUCCUCCAUGAGGACCACUUAUCCUCAACGAUCAACCAUAAGCAAACAUCUAGCUUGGGGGAGAGCAUCCCCUAGCUAUCAACAUGGUUAGAAGCAUGGGAGAAAGAGAAUAAAGUUGAAGAGCUGGAGCCAAAAAAAGAAAGAAGCAAAGGAGACAGAAACAAGAUGGAAGAAGGCACGUGCGACAUCACCAUGAAAUGGGGAGUUGACUGAGGUUACCUCAGACGAUGAACCCAAUGAGUAAGUGUUCUCCUCUAUCUAAGUCCUGUCGGUAGACUUUAAAUUAUGUACCCUAGCCAUAAGGUGAGAAUGGUAGUUAUCUCUUUAAAUGCAUUCGUAAUUUAUUUAGUAGCAUAAUUUUGUUUACACACUAAAAGAUAUAAAAACAACAAAAAUAUUUACUACAUUACUCAUGGCAUCACAAAGCUCCAUGAGGAUACUCUAUGGUAUUUUCUGAAGGAACAUCCGCUGUGGUGGCACAAAAUAAAAAUGACAAAAAUAUCGCAUUCAUAUUUAAAUUCCUGCAUCAUAAACAGAAAAUUCAAAAAAAAGAAGAGAAAAGUGAAAUCCUAUUUAAAUUAGACAACAAUAAAACUAGCUCAUAAAGGAAAUCAGUUACUUUUUGGCUGACCGCCAACCCAUUAACAAAUUCGAGCCUCGAGUUUUGGUUUCUCUUUGAGGAGAGUAUUUAUGCGGGAGUAACAUCAUAGCAAGGAGAGAGUCUAUCAGUGGCAUCCACCAGGUCCGCUACUGGUUAGCUCACUCUAAAGGACAUCUAUACCAAGUAUUGCAACCAUCGAGCUUGGGGGAGGAGCAUCCCCUAGUUAUCAGGUGACUACACCUAGGCAAUUAUUAAAUUCACUUGUUAUAUAUAUUCAUAAAAUACCAAAAAUAUGUGGGCACAUGAAGGUCCACGUCUGUUGAGUCUUUUAUGAGUCUGUGGUUAAAUAAAAUCUAAAAACCAAUAAAAAGAAGUCUUAGUUAGUAUUAAUUAUAUUAGAGUGUGUCUAGGCUAGAGCUAAUUAAAGAUUGAUAAACAUUAAAAUUUUGUCUUGGAGAUGAUGAAUAGUUGCUCUGUUAUAGAUCUUUACAAAUACCUAGAUUCCAACGGUAGAUUCUCUCGAGUUUUGGACAUGACUGUUUUAAUUUGAAGAUUUACUCUGAACCUGCAACUUGUGGAGGCAUAAGUUUGAGCUAAGUCAGGUAGUUGGUUGAUAAGAUCAUUAAAAGUAUGAGCUACUAUUUAUCUUAUUCCUAGCAUUACUAAGUUCUGGAGAUUUAUUUUGAAAACCCAAAAUCCUACAUGAUGAGCUCUUGUAUGACAAAGUAUGAAUAAUAUACAUUUAGAGUCAGGAAAACUUUUGCACAUUUAUGCUGCUUGCUUUGCAUUGAGUUUAGUCAACCCAUGUAGUAUACCUUACGAGAGUCUUGUCAUGCUUUUAAAACCAAGAUCACGUACACACUCCAGUUCACAUAUGCAUAAUUCCCAUACUAGGAGUAAUCGCAAUCAUUUCCAUUCCAUGUUUACCAAUCAUGCUUUUCCCCUACACUGGGAGUAAACACCAACAUAAACCAUACCCAUAGGAUAAAGCCCAUCAUAAAUGCUCUAAGUUCUUUUUAUUACCUCUCUAAUCAUUUAUUGUAUUCAAAGGAUACAUGUGGCUAUGCAAAAAUAUAAAGAAGAAAAGGGAGUAAAAGAUGGAUAAGUCUCCCUGUAAUUAAAACAAUGGGUACUAGAUGCCCACCUCCCUACAAAAAAUAUAUAAAAUAAUGAUAAAGAUAGCCCAUGUCUUUCCCGCAAAAAGUUCCAAUAUCAAAAGAGAGAUUUAUCGUCAAGGAGCAAAAGUAGAAAUAGAAAUUAGCCACAAAUACCACAAAUGCACCAAUCCACCAUAUUCCAUACACAUGCACACCUUGGUUUGAUUGUAUGUCUCGAUUCUCUAUGGAUCCAUUAGUUGACUUUACAAUACAUGCAUUGCAAGUAUGCCUAACCCUGUUAUUGGCACUCCUAUAAGAUCUAUCAUAUAUACCUUUAGCUAUAGGAGGCAUAACAUCAUUAAUGCCUCAAGAGAGAACCAUAAAUACCACGUACAUUGAGAGACUUGAGGGUGUCAUACAAUUAAGCUCUGAGUUUUAUUCUGAAAACUUAUAAAAACUCCAGAAUGUUCUGCAACGAAUUUGAGAUAGUGCUUGACCUGAUUGUUCUGUCUUCCGAUUGCUCAAGACUCAUGCAAAAGCUGUAAAGCCCCAUGGUUAAAGGUAAAAUGGGUAAGUUUGAAGAUUAGAGCAGUUAUUCACUAAUCUAGAGGAGAAUCUUUGUUUGGGAGCAUGUGUACUUGGAAAGAAUAAAAACAUUGUAGCAACUCUUGAUCCAAAUACAUAUUCUGCUUAGGCUUGGUUUGCCAAGAGACUGGCAAAAGGUAAGCUUAGGGGAAUUUUUGGGGAUAGUCUUGUAGUCUUCUGCAGUUGGCACCUUGAUAUUGAUAGGAGUUAUGACCUUAGGCGCUGGCACCUCUGAAUUUGAUAGCUCAGAAAUCUCAUGCUCUUGUAUUGUGCGUUUCGAAGCAAUGCCUGACAAAAAUCUCACUUGCCCAGCUGAUUUUUUCUUUCGCUCGAAUGGUGAAAUCAACUUAGGUAUCAGAAAUACUUUCUUUUUUGGCACCUUUGGUGGCUCACUUAUUGGUUCUGGAUCUUUGAGUUGUGGGGAAGGGGUGGAAUUGAAUGGUGGUGGAGAUUGUGUUGACUGUGGGGUAGAAAGAUCAUGGAGAGGAGAUGGUUGAUGGACAGGGAAAACAUGGAGAGGUGAUUCUGGUGGGUCAGGAAGAGACUGGGGAGGUGAAGGCGGUGGGUUAGGAAUAGGAUCGACAUGAGCUGACGACUCCUGGGUUAGUGGCAUCACUUGAGAGGGUGGUGGUGGCUCCCUUAGUUGCACGUCCCUCCGAGGCCAAAGGAUGAAAUUAUUUAUCACCUGUCCCAGUUUCACAAUGUUCUCGGGACCAGGGAUGUCUAGAAUCUCGUCCUCAUAUCCUUGGACCACGGUUGAUACCUCUACUCUACAGUAGUCUUUAGGGAUGUCACCACCAUGGUAUUUAGGUCCUCCUAGGAUCGCUUUGCCCGUGGCUACUUCCCUUGUACGAUGAUUGUUAAUCCCAUAUCUUAUGACAAGGGAGCAAGGUGUAGAAGUAACAAUGUCGUCAACUGGAUAGUGAUCCUUGUUUGCCGUAGAUGCGACACUGCUUGGAAUGAUUGUUUCACUUGAUGCCACCAACGGUUGCGACACCACUCGGACUAGCUGCAUUUGGGGAGCUUGAGUGCUCAUUUGGGUAACUGCAUUUGACAUGGCACUCGCUAGUUUCUGCAUCAACUCAGGAGGAGGAUUUUCUAGCAACUUCCCCAUCAUCUCUUGGAAGUCUUUCUUAGCCUCUUCCUGAUAAUAAUUUGCCAUUUUGUUCCUUGUACCGAUCACGUUUCUUAUACUCAUUUGCCCAUUGAGGGCUGAAUUCAUCCUUCCAUCCUUCUUUGGAUGAGAUGCCUCGAACACGACCAGGAUGCUCAGGGUUACCGAGGCCAACACUAAGGAUGUUCCUCUCCCUUCGUGGCGUAAACUUGCCUUCCUACUGCAUGCCUGCCACUCCAAAGAUGCUGUUCAUUGCUUCAUCAAGCAUUGGGUCCUCAAAGGACACACCCGUCUCGGUUUCCUUCGGUUUCCGAGGACGGAUCCAAUUCGCGGACCUUUCACCGACUUGCUCGGACAGCACUGGCAACCCUACUGCCUUCUUCGCAACCUCUUCUUGCCUCCAUUUAGGAACUUGGUGCCGGUAACCACCUGUGCCUAGAUGGUGGUGGUACUUGUUCCUCUUUGCGAGCUAGGAGUUGGCUUCGCUCCGAGCUAAGAAGUUAGGGUCAUUCCUCUGCUCUAGAAAAACAUACCACUGCCCUUUAGUAAUAUUGUAUUUGGAUGUCGGAUCCAUCCCUGUCUUUGCAUAGUUGACAUUCAUCUCCGACCUCCAAUUUCGGAAACUAACCGCACAUUGUUUCAUUGUAUAUGCCUUCACUAAAUCUUCUGGCACAUUCCUAGGAAACUGGAACCUUGUCUUAAUCUUAUCCCAAAUUUUGAUCUUGUGAUUAUUCGACACACCGGCCCAGUUCUUAACUGUGAUAUCAAGAAAGUCCCUCACACAGAAACCAAUUGCGUUCCUGUAUUUGGGUAGGGCCUCCUCUGGAGCUAGGGGCUGUCCGAUAGAGCUCACAUCUGUGAUGGCAUAUGUGUCAUCUGGAAAUUGGUUCAACCCUCUCUCGCCUCAUUUCAAACCUAGCCGCUUCCUUUUCCUAGACUGACAUGGCCUCUCAGGGCUCGUCGUUGUGGUCGUCGGUUCUGGUGUGUCUUCGUGUGCCACCUCCUCCUGAGACAUCAUCUCUCUAAACUGAGACAUUGCCUCCUGAGUAUAGACAUGUGAAUCAUGGGCAUGUUUUUAUGUAGAAACUAUGAAUAGAAAUCAUUUAGUUACAUGAAAUCGUGAAUGUCUCUAAUUUACCUCAUCGGCUUCUAGAUUGUAAUCGGGGUCACGUGCCAAUUCACGACGAGUCUUCCUCACUUCUAGAGACUCCAUGUCAUCGCUAGCUUCUUGUUCAUAGGACGAACCUGAUGCUUCGCCCGUUUCUACUUGUUUCGUGACCUCACGAGCUUGUUCCAUAGGGUCGGAUGACCCUUCUACUUGCUCCGUGGGUUGGGACUGCAGUGCUUCGUCCUUGUGCAGAGAACUCAUCGCAGAAAUCUAUGUAAUUUAUGCAUAAAAUUAAAUUUAUGUAUAAAAUUAAAUUUAUGUAUCUUGGGGUAUAUACACUAAUAUAUCAUACACUAACAUAUACACUAAUACAUACACAAAGAGAUUAAAUUUAUAUACACUAAUACACUAACAUAUUAUGAAGCAUAAAAUUAAAUUUAUGUAUCGUGGGGUAUGUACACUAAUAUAUCAUACACUAACAUAUACACUACUACAUAUAUAAACAGAUAAAAUUUACAUACACUAAUAUAUAUACUAAUAUAUCAUACACUAAUAUAUACAUAAUAUAUCAUACACUAAUAUAUUAAAUGAUUUACAUAUACACUACAUAUAUAAACAUAUUAAAUUUACAUACACUAUAUAUACACUAAUAUAUCAUACGCUAACAUAUACACUAAUAUAUCAUACACUAAUAUAUUAAAUGAUUUACAAAGAGAUUAUAACAAAAAGAUAAAAUUAAAUUUAGAUAUACACACUAAUGCAUAUGCAACGGGAAAUAAUAACAAGUAUUUAUAAAAUAAUAACUAUGAAUAAAAUCACAUGUAAAAGACAUAAUAAUAUUCCUUGAUUUUAUUUUUAUUUUUUCUGAUUUUUAUAAUUUUCUACUGUUUUUUACGGUUUAAUUUAAAUUUUUCAUAAAAAAUUGUUAAAGUAAAAAAAUCCCAGCCCAACAGGCCCAGCAGGCCGUCACUCCAUCUCCCUUCUCUCCCUCUCUCUGGCAGGUGGGCCCCACAUGUCGGGGUCAUCCCCUACCUCCAGCCGCCGCCGCCACCGCACCGCCCCUUCCACCACCGUACACCCCGCACCAGCCCCAUCCUCUUCCAGCAUCGCCACCGUGGCCAUCCCUUCCCCUUCCACCACCACCACCGCGGCCGCCCCCCUUCCCCGUUCGGGCAGCGCCACCAUCGCGCCCCCACCACCACCGCCGCCACAUCGAGGAUGCGCAGGGAGAGAGAGAGAGAGAGAGCGCGUGAGCAGGAGAGGCUCUCACCGAGGGGCGGCGUCGGCGUCGAGGGCGGAGGAGACGGUCACCGUGCGACGGUGUCGAGGACGACAACAACGGUGGCGAUGGCAGCGAUGGCGGUGGAAAAUUUCGGCAGCGUGUCGGCUUAGUUUGAAUGAACAGGGCGCCAGACUUAGAAAAUUUUCAGGCGGAGAAGACCUAGGGUUAUAUAGGCGGGCAUUAGUACAUGCGGUUGGAUUAGUCAACCGCAUGUAGAAAUAGUUUCUACAGGCGGUUGACUAAGCCAACCGCCUGUACUAAUGCAUUUGUACAGGCGGUUGGCUUAGNNNNNNNNNNNNNNNNNNNNNNNNNNNNNNNNNNNNNNNNNNNNNNNNNNNNNNNNNNNNNNNNNNNNNNNNNNNNNNNNNNNNNNNNNNNNNNNNNNNNAAUUUGAAAUUAAAAUUUUUAAUAGUAUUCCCAAGAAUAUAUUUGUUUUUAAAACAAUGAUAAGAGCCACAUAAUCCAAUUAAAUUAUUUUAAAUAAAGCUGCAUACAAAAGUACCUCAAACAUGAAAUUUCAUAUUUUUAACAUGUGUAUCUGGUCAAGAGGAACACAACAAAAAAAAUUUCACUAAUUUAGGACAAAUAUUUUUGAAGAUAUGAUUUUUUGAAUCAUUUAAAAAAUUUCUAAAAAUAUAUAUAAGGAAAACUUUAAAUAAACUGAAAAUCCAUUUGUACAGGUGGUUGGCUUAGCCAACUGCCAGUACUGUACUGGCGGUUGGCUAAGCCAACCGCCUGUACUAAUGCAUUUGUACAGGCGGUUGGCUUAGCCAACCGCCAGUACAGUACUGGCAGUUGGCUAAGCCAACCACCUGUACAAAUGGAUUUUCAGUUUAUUUAAAGUUUUCCUUAUAUAUAUUUUUAGAAAUUUUUUAAAUGAUUCAAAAAAUCAUAUCUUCAAAAAUAUUUGUCCUAAAUUAGUGAAAUUUUUUUUGUUGUGUUCCUCUUGACCAGAUACACAUGUUAAAAAUAUGAAAUUUCAUGUUUGAGGUACUUUUGUAUGCAGCUUUAUUUAAAAUAAUUUAAAUGGAAUAUGUGCCUCAUAUCUUGUUUAAUACAUAAAUAAUUCUAGGAAUACCAGAAAAAUGUAAAUCCAAUUUUGUUAGCUUUAUUGUAGUGUGUAAAUGCUAUAAAAAAUAUAUUCCUUUGUGCAAUUUAUUGUUGAUAAUAUAAAUGUGAGGAACCCAUAUGUUUGAGCAUAGUUCGGUGGAAUGACUCUUAUACGUUUGUGAAGAAUGUGUGUUAUGCCUAUCUCCAAAUGUCUUGAAAUUUUUUUGGCAAGCUUCUACACUCAAAUGAUAACCCCACACAAGAUCUUAGGAUUUUCUAGUCAUGCAAGCUAUUAUUACAUUUUUCUUUGUGCUAAAUGAGAUGAAAAAUGGUGGACUACACCUAGAUCCCACUAGGUUUUUCCACCAACCACAAGGAAAUUUUAUUUCCUAUGGUAUAUAAGCCCCUGUGGAGAAGUUUGGCACCAUUUGGAGUCAUUUCAGGGGUAGACUUAGUUCAAGCGCUAAUUAGUGGGUGAUGUCGCACGGAAAUUCAAUUAAACCGGAUAAACCACAUCAGAAAAAUCCCAAACUUGGUGGAUUGAACAUCAAUGACACUAGUAACCCUUAGUAAAAGUUUGAGACUAAUACGACAUCAAUGGCACUAGUAACCCUUACAUGUAGAAAUAGAAAAGGGCACAUAGCAUAAGGUACACAUUUUAUCAUAAAUAGAUUACAUGGCAAAUGACAAAUAAAAUCUAGGCAGCUACUGUUCUUCCUUGUCCAUCGUGACGCACCUAGGGCAACGAGCUCUGUGGAAUGCUCCGCUCAACAUUCCUUAUCUUUACUGGAUGGUCGUCUACAAAGAGAGACAUGUCACUGAACUGGUUAAAUUCAUCCAAGUCAGAUACACCAUCAACUCCGAUGGCUUGUUGCUUUCCUGGGAAAACUAUGUGCUUUGGAUGGUCCGUAAUUUUCUUCUUAUCAUUAGGAGAGAGGACAUGCUCAGCAUAGAAGACCUAUGCAGCACGGUUAGCCAUUAUCCAUGGAUCAUCUUUAUAGCCUACCUUGCUUAGAUCUAGAACUCUAAUCCCAUAGUUGUCCACUGUGACAUGUUUGUCUUCAACCCAUUGACACCGAAAUACAGGGAUCUGAAAUGUACCAUAGUCUAGUUCCCAUAUGUCCUCAACGAAGCCAAAGUAAGUUGUUUCCUCACCAGUUUCAGAGUCUAAGGCAUCGCAUCGAACACCACUAUUUUGUGCCAUGCUCUUUUGGUCUUUGGACUUGGUACAAAACGUGAAGCCACUAAUGUCAUAGGUUUGCCAAGUUGUGACCUGGCGUGAUGGCCCAGAUGUCAAGACCUUGAUGGUGCGAUCCUUGAGUGUUUCCCCAUCUGGAAUGUCCUGCUCCCUUAGCCAUGAGGUGAACUGAUUCUUAUGUUCCUUCAUUAUCCAUUCAUCUGUGUGCCCAUGAUUAUGUUUUUGAAGCUCUUCAAUGUGUAGAUUGAUCAAAGGCUCCAUUAUCGAGAGCUGAUGCAGGACGCUGUGAUGUGCUUCGAGGACUGAAUUGUAAUCUUUUGGGACGUAUGAUUUCUUUCCCAUCCUACCUCUUCCAUUCAGCCUACACUCGUGUCGUGAUGGAGGCAAACCUAUUGCAACCUGGUCUUUUAGGACCCUAUUGCAGAAUGGACCUCCGGACUCAAUGGCCUCUUCGGUUAAGUACCCCUCUACCAUAGACGCCUCUGGACGAGCACGAGUUGAUACAUAGCCAUUUAGUAUUGACAUGAAGCGUUCAUACGUCCACAUCUCAUGCAAAUACAUGGGACCCAAUGCCUCUAUUUGUGAAACCAAGUGCACCACAAGGUGAACCAUCACAUCGAAGAAUGCUGGGGGGAAACACAUCUCAAACUGUGAAACUGUCUCCACUGUGAAUUCCUUAAGAGACGCCAACUCAUCACGUUCAAUCACCUUCUGUGAGAUCCUGUUGAAGAAGUAGCACAACCGUGUAUCUACAACCUUUAUCCACACUGGGUUUAUAGCCCUAAUGGCAAUAGGGAGAAAAGUAGUCAAUUUGACAUGACAAUCAUGUGAGUUGUAGUUGGUGAGUGUAAGGUCUUUCAUUGACACAAUACUCCGUAUGCUAGAGCAUAAUCUUGAUGGGACUUCCAAUUUCUUCAACCACACACACAUCUCAUGUUUCUCUUCAAUGUUGAGGUUGUAGCUUGCUGCCGGGAGGUGGUACUUCCCAUUUUCUAGCGUAACAGGGUGAAGUUCUUUUUUUAUGCCUAACUGUACCAUGUCCAAGCGUGAAUUUAAUCCUUCCUUUGUCUUGCCCUUCAUGUCCAACAAGGUGCCAAUUACGCUUUCAAACACGUUCUUCUGAACGUGCAUACCAUCGAUCGCGUGGCGGACGUCUAAUUCUGGCCAGUAUUCCAAAUACUCGAAGAAAAUUGACUUCUUCUUGAAUGUAGCCCCUAGAGCUGGCUUGACAUUCUUUCUCGGUUUUCCAUCUUUUGUCUUCUUCCCAAAAACAAAUUUGAGUUUGCUGACUAUGCUGAAAACUCUUUGGCCUUUACUGUUACCUGAUGGAGCAGUAGUCUGUAGUUCACUAUUAUUGUCAAAGUACUUAUCCAUUUUUUUCAGCCGGUACUUGUGUCCUUUUGAUAAGAAGCGUCUGUGCCUCAUGUACACUAUCUUCUUAGAUGUAGUUAGGUUCACGUAAGCGGUGUCAUCUAUGCAUACCACACAACCUAACUUUCCCUUGAACUGUCCUGAUAAUGUAAAGAGAGCUGGGUAGUCAUUGAUCGUAACAAAGAUAAUUGCUCUCAGUGUGAAUGAUUCUUUGUGGUACUCGUCGAAUAUUUGAACACCUGUUUCCCAUAGUAUCUUCAUGUCCUGCAUUAAGGGCUCCAAGAAAACAUCCAUAUCAACUCCAGGUUGUGUAGGUCCAGAGAUAAGGAUGGUUAGUAAAAGGUACUUUCGCUUCUGCAUCAACCAUGGAGGGAGGUUGUAGAUGGUGAGGAUCACUGGCCAUGUGCUGUGCUUGCUGCUCCUCUCAGCAAAUGGAUUCAUUCCAUCAGUACUCAGUGCAAACCUAACAUUCCUUGGUUCAUUCGCAAAGUCCUUGUGGUUUUCAUUGAAAUCUUUCCACUCCUGGCCAUCGGCUGGGUGCCGAAGCUUCCCAUCGUCUUUGUGCUCAUCAGAAGCAUGCCAGCUCAUAAGUUGGGUAUCCUCUGGGUUAGCAAACAAGCACCUCAAUCGAUCGAUCACAGGAAGGUACCACAUCACCAAAGCAGGAAUCUUUUUCUGCACAUAAUUGUCUACUUCUUCCUUUUCUUUGCCGGUGGGUUUUGAACUACUCUUCUGGGUCUUUUGUUGGGCCUUCUUUCGUUUCUUGCCCUUAGGCACAGAGGCAACACACUCUUCCUCUAUGUAGUCUUUAUUUAUCUUGUACCUACUUGCACCACACUUGGGACAGCUGUCCAAGUCUCUAUAAUCAUCGCCUCGAUAUAGGAUACAAUGAUUUCUACAAGCGUGGAUCUUCUCAACACCCAUUGUGAGUGGGAUAAUUAGCUUCUUUGCAUAAUAUGUGUUAGCAGGCACUUUAUUAUCCUUAGGAAGCAUGUCUGCGAUAAUGCUUAAGAACGCAUCAAAGCUAGCAUCAGAAAGACCAUAUCUAGCUUUGCACACCAACAACUUUAGCACAGACCGCAGCGUCGUGAACUCUUUGGUGCAACCCUUGGACUCAUCAUACAAAGGCUCUUCUGCUGCCUUCAUUAGGGCCUCCAUACCUUUCACGAAGAACACUGAUGGAUCUUCCGCAUGACGACGCAACAUUGCCUCUAGAAAUUCUACAUCUUCAGCAGCCAUGUUAGUUUCGGUGCCAUCUUCAUUUCCUCCAAUAAAACCAUGAUCAGGAACAUUUGGCACAACAUAUUCAGUGGCUAGACCAACGGUAUUAGGUUGUUGUGUCUCGUGUACCAACUCAAACCCGUCAACAAUUCCAGUUGUAUAAGGCGCAGAGCUACCCUCUCCAUGCUUUGUCCAAAUCAAGUAAUCUUUCAUAAAUCCUCGACGGACCAGAUGAGUAAGGAUUUGUUGAAUGUCAUCAGAUACAACAAGAUUUCUACAAUCCAUGCAUGGACAAUGUAUGUGCGUCUUUCUUGUUCUUGAAGCAUGGUUUUGAGCAGCAUCAAUAAACCUCUGGACCUCAGUUAUGUAUGAUGGAUCUAGUCUUGAUAAAUUAUACAUCCAAAAUGACCUCUCCAUCAAUUCCUGUAAAACACCAUUCAUAUGAUCUAAGGGUUUACAAAGGAUUUUUCUAGGGUUUAUUAGCUAGGGUUUAUGGUUAAGCUUGAGAUUAAAGGAAAAAACAUAAGUUACAUAAUUAAAAAAUAAUCUAAGUAUAGCAUAACUAUAUAAAUACAUCAUUCAUUAUAAAUAGAUAGAUGAUGUGGAAGGUGAUAAUAAAAAACCUAACUACCAUAUAAUUAAAAAAAUCCACAAUUAUCUCUCUACAUAAAUAUACAAAGAACACACCAUUGGUUUAAUCUUGUAAAAACUAGCUAAAUUGAGAAGCAAACAUGUUGAGAGGCAUUAUCCAACCAUAUUAAGCAACCCCAUCUAACCAUAUCAACAAAUAAAGACAAGAAGCUAGCUAUUCUUCUCUCUCACUCAUAAAACAUACAUACAUGUUGAUAAAUAAAUUGAAAAAUUUAUAAAGAGAGAGAGACAUAAAUUAGAAAACCUAAGUAUAGCAUAACUAUAUAAAUACAACAUUCAUUAUAAAUAGAUAGAAGAUGUGGAAUGUGACAAUAAAAAACCUAACUAUCAUAUAAUUAAAAAAAUCAACAAUUAUCUCUCUACAUAAAUAUACAAGAACACACCAUUGGUUUAAUCUUGUAAAAACUAGCUAAAUUGAGAAGCAAACAUGUUGAGAGACAUUAUCCAACCAUAUUAAACAACCCCAUCUAACCAUAUCAACAAAUCAAGAUAAAAAGCUAGCUAUUCUUCUCUCUCACUCAUGGUGAAACCCUAGAUCCAAAAAGUGGCUCAAAUUGAGCUAGAAUGAGCAAAUUGAGGCAAUAGGGACAUAAACUAACCUCUUUUAACAACCUCCUUCCAAGAAAUGAAGAUCAAAACCUCCCCCUUGUAAUUUGAGAAAUCUGGAACUCCAAAAUCGCCCCCAAUGGAAGGUGGGUGCGAGAUACUGUGUUCUGGUCGGGGAGGAAGAAGGGGUAUUUAUACAGAGAUAACACAGGCGGUUGCUUAAGUCAACCGCCUGUGAUAAUCGUUUCCACAGGCGGCCGAAAAUCUCUUACACCGCCCGAUUUAUACCACAGGCGCGUCAUAACUGGAACCGCCUGUGGUAUAAAAAGGGAGCGCCAGCUAUGAGCCUCUUUCUACUAGUGUCUGUCAGGGCGCUGCGUCACCGUCUUUUGGGCUGUUGGGCCUUGUAACGUGUUAGGGCAACUUAUGGACGUGAAGAGGGGACCUUAGACGUCCCUUUAGCUAUAUAAUCAGUAGCCGCCACCUACGUUAGGGUUUAGGUUUUGCUUAGAUUAUUCUAUUUACAACAGUUUCGCCGUCAUCGGUUUGUGAGACCCCAACUUCGUGAGAUUAAUCAUUUAUCUACAAAUUUGGUUGCAUUCUUUCUUGUUCUUGCUUGUGUUCUUCGAUUCGCAGGCAAGGAUUAGCCUUCUUGGCGAGGUUGACCAUGCAGCACCGGUCAAUAAUGAGAGGAGACGUGGUGCUAAGGUUGCAGGGUUCGGUUCUUUGUGAUUUGAAGCCGGAUCAGUGUGUCGCUCAAUGACCAAAUCAUUGUUUAUCUUGAACUUGACGGAAGAUCGGGAACCUUGUUCUCAAUAGGAAGCUUCCUCCACCACCUUUGAGGAGUCAUCUUGGCCCUUGGUUAAGUCGGUUUGAUCCUACGGCGCACAUUGAUCCCACGGGGCUAUAAAUAAAGGGGCAGACCCCCUCCCUGAGGUAUCAAGUCAUUUGGAGAUCCAUUCAUCAUGAGUCUUCUCUAGUUCAUGAGAGCCUCUCUAGUUCAUUGUUUUAGCCUAGUUAGAUUAGAAGUAGAAGAGUUCUAGGUCUUCAGCGGGAUCCAGAGCCUCUGGCGUCUGUCUGGAGCACAGAGUUCAGUAUAGCUAUAGUAAUUUUAUCUUAUUGUAUUCAAUAUUACGAUUCAGGCAACAUUGUUCUUAAUCUCUUAUAUAUUUUUAAUUGCAAUAGUCAUAGUCUACUUUGAUUAUAUGUCUAGGAUAGUUGGUUUGAUCUUAUUGAAUUCAUGUAAUUGCUCGUAUAGCGUUUACGCAAUCAAUUAGUGGGUAGAUGGUAGACAAUAUGUAGACGUGGUGUCUAGAUAUCUUAUUUAUCUGCGAGGACACCCUAACGUGCCGGGUCAUGUGGUAGUCCACGCAGGUGACUGCUGCGUUGGUUCCUUUGUAGUCCACCCCCUGUACAUAGGACAGCUUGAUGACGACAUUGCCACGCGGGAUACCUUGACACCAUCAUCUUUUUCAAGUUGCAAUUCAUCUCUAGCUCAGCUACCACGUCACUCUCGGAUUCAGCAAAUAUGUCGUCAGUGUUUUGAUCAUAACUGCUUCAUACGACAUUGAAACAAGGUGAUCUUGGACUCGUUGGAAAGGGGACAACGACGCUGUCGUUUUGGAUCUAGUCCCAGCUCUAGAUCUUUUGUGGAUUAAUCUUUAUGUCCAUGACAAGCUGCUGCGUCACCUAUUUUGGGCCAACUUGGCCAUAUAUCAAAUUCGGACAUUAAGCCUAUGUUGUGGGUGCCUCCCCUGGUCGCCUCCAACCCUAGGUCGCUUCUCCUUUAUAUUCCACGUAGUCGCCGCUGUUUAGACUCGGGUUUUGUUUAGCGUUUAGUUUUCCUUUGAAAAACUAAAUCGUUCAUUGUAACUAUGGUGACAAAUUCUUUUACAGUGAUCCAGAGCCCCCGUUCCUGAUCUCCUCCACUGUGUCAAUUAGAGCUUUGGAACCGAGCUCUUGUACCCUCAUUUGAAUAUUUGUGUCAAUCAUAUUUGCAAAUUCAGAUUGCGUGUUUAUACUUUCUUGCUUGUGUUCUUCGAUUCGCUUGCAGAAAAAGCCUUCUUGGCGAGGUCAAUCAAGUUGUGCUUGGUUGAUAUCCAACGGAGCAGUGGUGUAACGGUUGCAGGGUUCGAAUCGUGUUGAUUUGAAGCCGGAUCGCAAAUGUCGAGUUCUCCACAAAUUGAAUUUACCAAUUACCUCUCAGAAGAUCAGGCCUGAACCUCAUCAAUUGGUAUCAGAUAUCUCAGAUUUACCGCGAGAUAUAAUCUCGUUUGUCCUAUAUUCAUAUUUGUUCAUUACCUACAAUCCACAAAAAGCCCAAAAAAAUAGUUUAAUUUUCCGCUGUCCUAUCAUCCAUUGUGCCUUGCAAUUUCGUUUUCAGUUUUGCUUUGUGGAGUUUGUGUCCGUGGUUGAGUCUAGUUGCUGGUUUUGAUUGUUUUCGUCAUCAUAGUUCAUUUGCACCGUUGCUAUUCCUAGUUUCUGCUACUACUCAUCCACUGUUUCCAGACAACAAGUCGAAGCCACCAUAUUACUCGACUUGCCUCCGCUAGCCGUCUUGUGUGAUCUCUCGCCGCCUUGCUAACCCUAGAUAGGUUGUCAGCCGCUGUUAUUUUGUCUGCUUCGCAGCCCUCCUUAUAUCAUGAGGCGCAUACCUACUGCAGUUAGUUACAGGGAUGAUUCAUCCUAUGAUUAGUGUUGGAUUUUAGGGAUGCUUUGCCCUAACUGCCGCCGCCGCCGCCGUCGCUUUGGUGUGCCUUCCGGAAAACAUAACUUGAGAUACCUUCAGUAAAACCAGCAUAACUUUUCGCUCGUUUAUUAGAAAAAUCUGAAAUUUUUACAGCAGCUUCUUGACAUCAUUUGGAGCCGACCAAACUUGGCUUUUCCUUGUUUGGUCUCAGCAAAAUUGCCAAAAAAAUUCAGGAAAAUAAAGAAAAAAAUGACAAGGGUUUUGCACGCUUUUCAGAGAACUUGCUGAAUUUCUGUAGACCACAUCUGACCCCAGUUGCUGUUGCCAAUUUUUGUGGUUACAUCUUUUGUGAUCCUUGUUUAGAGAAAAAUAUAAAAAAAUAGUGAAAAAAUAAAAAAUCUUAAUUCCUACUAGUGCCUUUUGGGAAAAUCUAGGAAAAUCAGGAUAAAGGAAAAAUCUGCUCUAUUGCUUGUUCACUGAGUUCCUUCCAUCAUACUUUGUUUCACCUUGUUGUGCUAGGUCUAGACACGUCUUAGCCAGCAAUUGUGAUUUGUCCUUUGGAUACUUAUUGAACUUAGCUAACUCUGGAUUCGAAUUUUGCUAAUCCUUGCUACAAAUUAGGCCUAUCCAAAGCUUCACAUAUACUUCUGUCAGCACAGGUUCCUCUUGCAACUGUUUACCCACGCUCAACAACAGAUUACUUUGCCAAUUUGGUUUUGCUCCUGUUUGGCUUUGGUAAGAACACUUGUAUGAUGGUGGUAAACCGCUGCUGAUUUUGUAUUCCACUGUUACCACCACCACUUGGUUCCUUUUAGUUGAUAGGGAUAAUCCUUUGCUGUUGUUUUUUUCCCUAUUUUCUAACCAUGGCAGAAUCUCCAACGGAUUUCAAUGAUUGUGUGUCCAAGGGUGAACUUACAGCGUUCAUCACUGAACAGCGCAAUCUUAUGAACGAACUGACAUGCAAUGUGAACAAUCUGGUCACCCGCAUUGAACAGAUUGAGCAAUGCCCUCAAUCUCAUCAUGGGGAUGAUGAAGAUGCAGAUGGAGAUCUAUCUGCUCAUGAAGAUGUGGACGAUGACGGUGAUGCACGCAACCGUCGCCGCUAAAACUUCAAUCAUCGCAGUAUGGGAGGUAAUAACCAUGGUAAUAAUGAUCCUUUUGCUAAAAUUAAAUUUAGCCUACCUCCUUUUGCUGGUAAUGAGGCAUAUUUAGAUUGGGAGCUUGCUAUUCAACAAAAAUUUGAUUCUCAUAAUGUGCCUGCUGAGCAUAGAGUUAGACUUGCUACUAGUGAGUUUACUAAUUUUGCUUUGUUUUGGUGGAGUGACCUUUGCAAUACUAAUAAUGCUGCUGCUGUGCCUCAAACUUGAAAUGCUUUAAAACAACGUAUGAAAUCUCAUUUUGUUCCUCCUUAUUAUCAAUGUGAUUUACGUCUUAAACUGUAAACUUUAAAACAAGGGGAUAAAAGCGUAGAAGCAUACUAUCAAGAAUUGCUUAUUGGUUUAGCACGUUAUGGUGUACAUGAAGAUGAUGCUGAUGCUAGUGCUAGAUUCUUUGGUGGUUUAAAUCAUGAUAUCUAGAAUAUUCUUGAUUACAAAGAAUGGCGUAAUUUUUUCCAAUUGUAUCAUCUUGCUAUAAAGGCAGAACGUGAAGUACAGGGACGCAAGCAACACCAUACUUUCAGGUCUAAUAAUGGGAGGAAUUUUCAGCAGCGUUCUGAGCCAGAGACACCUGCAUUUUCUUCUAGGUAUGUAUAUUGUCUAAUGUGCAGCUCCCACAGCUGAAGAAAGGUGCCACUCCAGGUGCUUCCACUAGUUCCUCUUCGCCCAGCGCUAAAAUCAUUUGCCAUCGAUGCAAAGGCAUGGGACAUAUCAUGAAGGAUUGCCCCAGUCGUCACGCUUUCAUUGCUACCAAGGAUGGAUAUAUAAGUGCUAGUGAUGUUGAAGAUGAUUUAGCCCUUGCUGCUAACAUUGCUGUAGAUCCCACCGAGGGCGAUCAAGACACGGAGACCAUCGUCAUUGACUCUGUUGCUGCCUCUGCGGGCUAUCCUAGCCUUCUUGUGCAGCGUGUGUUGAGUUCACGUGUGGUACAUGAAGAAGAUAAGCAGAUCCAGCGCCACGAUUUGUUCCACAAAUAUCUUAUUGUGCAGGGUUGUCGUGUUCUCACCAUCAUUGAUAGCGGGAGUUGCAACAACUUGGUGAGUUUAGAUUUGGUUGAGAAGCUUUGCUUAACCACACGACAACAUUCGUAUCCAUAUAAACUUCAAUGGUUCAAUAAUAGUGGUAAGGCUAAGGUAACUAAAUCAGCCCGCAUUAGUUUCUUCACAGGUUAUUAUCACGAUACUGCUGAUUUUUAUGUUGUGCCUAUGCAAGCUUGUUCAAUUUUGUUAGGACGUCCAUGGGAUUUUGAUAAUGAUGCUUUACACCAUGGUAGAACUAAUACAUACACUUUCAUACAUAAGAACAAGAACAUUUCUUUGCUCCCUUUGUCACCAAUGGAUAUUGUUAAACAUGGUAAAGAUAUUAACAAUAAACCUUCCACAAACGUUGAUAAAAAUAAUGGAAAUAAGUUAUAUGGAGGUGCUUUACUUGCUACAACUUCUACUACUGUUGCGUUAUGUCAUAAUCCAGAUGCACCAUGUUAUACUAUGCUUUGUCAACCUAUUAUGUCUUGUGCAUUGCAUGCUGUCACUAACUUUUACCAGGAGUUUGUUGAUGGGGAAGAGUUGAGGACGACUCCAAUUGUAGAAGGAGGGGAUGAUGAGGACAUCACCAAGAUAGAGUCGAGGACGACUCCAAUUCAAGAAGGGGAGGAUGAUGAGGACAUCGCCACACUGGAUAUGUUGACACCAUCAUUUUUUCCAAGUUGCAAUUCAUCUCCAACUCAGCUACCACGUCACUCUCAGAUUCAGCAAACAUGUCAUCAGUGUUUUGAUUAUAACUUCUUCGUACGACAUCAAAACAGGGUGAUCUUGGACUUCUUGGAAAGGGGACAAUGACACCGUCGUUUUGGAUCUAGUCCUAGCUCUAGAUCCUUCGUGGAUUAAUCGUUAUGUCCCCGACAAGGUGCUGCGUCACCUAUUUUGGGCCAACUUGGUCAUGUAUCGAAUUUGGGCCUUAAGCCCAUGUUGUGGGUGCCUCCCCAUGGUCGCCUCCAACCCUAGGUCGCUUAUCCUUUAUAUUCUACGCAGAUGCCGCUGUUUGGACUUGGAUUUUGUUUAGAGUUCAGUUUUCCAUCGAGAAACUGAAUCGUUCAUUGUAACUGUGGUGACAAAUCCUUUUACAGUGAUCCAGGGCCCCCGUUCUUGAUCUCCUCCACUGCGUCGAUUAUUCCUUUGGAACCGAGUUCUUGAACCCUCAUUGAAUAUUUGCGUCAUUCAUACCUGCAAUUUCAGAUUGUGUGUUUAUACUUUCUUGCUUGUGUUCUUCGAUUCGCUUGUAGGAACAGCCUUCUUGGCGAGGUCAAUCAAGUUGUACUUGGUUGAUAACCAACGGAGCAGUGGUGUAACGGUGGCAGGGUUCGAAUCGUGCUGAUUUGAAGCCGGAUCGCCAACGUCGAGUUCUCCACAAAUCAAAUUUAUCAAUUACCUCUCGGAAGAUCGAGCCUGACUCUCCUCACAAUGGUUCAAUAAUAGUGGUAAGACUAAGGUAACUAAAUGAGUCCGCAUUAGUUUCUUCACAGGUUGUUAUCAUGAUACUGCUGAUUUUGAUUUUGUGCCUAUGCAAGGUUGUUCAAUUUUGUUAGGACGUCCAUGGGAAUUUGAUAAUGAUGCUUUACACCAUGGUAGAACUAAUACAUACACUUUCAAAUAUAAGAACAAGAACAUUACUUUGCUGCCUUUGUCACCAAUGGAUAUUGUUAAACAUGUUAAAGAGAUUAACAAUAAACCUUCCACAAACAUUGAUAAAAAUAAUGAAAAUAAGUUACAUGGAGGUGCUUUACGUGCUACAACAUCUACUACUGUUGUGUUAUAAGAUAAUCCGGAUGCACCAUGUCAUACUAUGCUUUGUCAACCUAUUGUCUUGUACAUUGCCUGCUGUCACUAAUCUUUUGCAGGAGUUUGAUGAUGGGGAAGAGUCGAGGACGACUCCAGUUAUAGAAGGAGGGGAUGAUGAGGGCAUCGCCAAGAUGGAGUCGAGGAUGACUCCAUUUCAAGUAAGAGAGGAUGAUGAGGACAUCGCUAUGCUAAAUACGUUGACACCAUCGUCUUUUCCAAGUUGCAAUUCAUCUCCAACUCAACUACCACGUCACUCUCGGAUUCAGCAAACACGUCGUCAGUAUUUUGAUCAUAACUUCUUCAUACGAUAUCGAAAAGGAGUGAUCUUAGACUCGUUGGAAAGGGGACAACGACACCGUCGUUUUGGAUCUAGUCCCAACUCCAGAUCUUUGGUGGAUUAAUCUUUAUGUCCACGACAAGGUGCUGCGUCACCUAUUUUGGGCCAACUUGGUCAUGUAUCGAAUUCGGGCCUUAAGCCCAUGUUGUGGGCGCCUCCCCCUGCUUGCCUCCAACCCUAGGUCGCUUCUCCUUUAUAUUCCAUGCAGCCGCCGCUGUUUAGAUUUGGGUUUUGUUUAGAGUUUAGUUUUCCUUUGAGAAACUGAAUCGUUCAUUGUAACUAUGGUGACAAAUCCUUUUACCGUGAUCUAGGGCCCCCGUUCUUAAUCUCCUCCACUGUGUCGAUUAGUCCCAUGGAACCAAGCUCUUGAACCCUCAUUUGAAUAUUCGUGUCAUUCAUAUCUGCAAUUUCAGAUUGCAUGUUUAUACUUUCUUGCUUGUGUUCUUUGAUUCGCUUUCAGGAAAAGCCUUCUUGGCGAGGUCAAUCAAGUUGUGCUUGGUUGAUAUCCAACGGAGUAGUGGUGUAACAGUUGCGGGGUUCGAAUCAUGCUGAUUUGAGGCCAGAUCGCCAACGUCAAGUUCUCCACAAAUCAAAUUUACCAAUUACCUCUCGGAAGAUCGGGCCUGAAGCUCAUCACGCUCGGGCGCGGUCGCGAAGGAGGUGACGGUUGUGUCUUAAAACCCUCAUUAGUUGAUGCCUCUUUGCAUGUGAUCAUGAUAUAGGGUUGACUUAACAAUGAUUUCUAGAUGUAAUUGCACUAAUUAGAGUUAUUCAUUGAUGUAGUUAUAGAAUUACCUUAGUAUUUCUUCAUGAGUUUAUCUAAUGGCUGGCUAUUACUAUGACUAGAAGAGCUCUGAUAUUUAUAUAUUUAUGAUGACUGAUCAUUAUUUAUCUUAUAUCUUUUAUCAAGUGACUUAUCCCUAUUAUGAGUAGGAUUCUAGUUAUGGUUUAUUGUUCACACCAAUAGUAUAAGUUAUAGUUAUAAGUCCUACAUAUAUACCUUCCCUGUGGAUACGAUAUUUAAAACCCCCUGGGUAAAAUGUGAUAUUGGUACGAUAUCUAUGCGCUUGCAGAUAAUUUUACUUAAAUCUUAUUUAAAGGAUUGCAGUUAAGUUGUACCAACAUAUAUACAUACAUGCUCAGGUGAAUUGCACAAAUAACAUAUAUAAUGAGUGAUUCGAGUGUGCUACAUGAUGGAGUAGCAUAAGCUAAGGUUUUCUUUAUAAAAAUAUUAUAACAUUCCAAGUGACAGGCUAAAGGAAAAGAGAACUCUAUUUUGUACUGUUCCAUCUUCAACUUCUCAAUGUUUUAUGGUAGACACUUUGAAUCCCGUAGUACAGGUAUGACUUGGAAUAAAUCUGGUGAUGUCUAGGUUUUGAGGUUAUGAUUAAAAUAGUCUAUCAAUAAUUUUUCCUCGAGGAUGAGUAAAGAUAAGUGUGGGGGAUUUUGUUGACGGUAGAUAACUCCUAAUUUUAACCGUCAACUUAACAUGAAAAAGGAACUAUUUGCAAGCACUCAAUAGAUAUAGGGUUAUCACUAACAGAAUUCCACGAGUUUUGGGGAUUGUCUAUUUCUGCAGGGUUAUCGGAAUAAUAACAAAAGAAGGUCCACAUAUCAGAUUUACAUAGAGAGAAGACCAAAACAUAAACUCAGGAACAAUCUAGACUCCAGGAUCCACACCCUGGAAGAUGGGACCCACCUGCCAUAGGGUAGGGGCGGCCGCCCGGGGCUCUCCACCAAUCAUAGUGAACCUCGCGGAUCCUGCCUCCACCAACUUUGAGGAUUAAUCUUAAGCGCAUGUUUAAGUUAGUUUGAUCCAAGGGCUAUGGUGAUUCCUAGGGGGGCUAUAAAUAAGACCCUGACCCCCCUAUUUCUAAUACUAAAACCCUAAUUCAUAUUUUAUAGAGAGAAUUAGAUAGAGAGGGGUCCCUCAAAUGGAUCUGUCUCUUUAGGUUGAUAGCAACAAGAGAGAUUGAGAGAGUAUAGGGUGAAGAUAGGAGUUGAGGAAGCCUGGCCUAUUGUUGCCUUCUUCUUUGUAUCUUUGGGGUCAAGUCUCCUAGCCUGAGGCUUGGUUCUAGAAUUGUUUGGCAAUUUAACUUCCAAUACUAGUAAGUUAUUCUUCUUAUUGUUCUUUGGUUCAUGAGUUUACUUUAUUAGCUUCACGUAGGUAAUAGAGUAAUUAUUCGUAGCGUAAGCAUGGUGCUUAGGCUAGGACUAUACUCCCUAUUUGGCUGGAUUUGUGGUUGCCUUUUGGGGGAAGUGACAAUCCUCUUGGGUCUCAGUAAUCCACGUCCCAUCAGAAGGUAAGGUAGGGUAUAUGGUACUAGGGUUAUGCACUCUCUGAGGUGUCCCUUUUCUCUAGUUACUCCUCUUAGAAUGAUAUCUACACUCUUGCCAUAGGUUAGAAGAAGACUGAAGAAAGAGUUCUCUAUAUAUUGCUUAUAUCUCGCUAUCUUGUCUUGCAACCCAUGGGUAAUAGGAAGGAUAAAAGAUUAGCCUUUUGCACGCUUUCUCCUAGUGGUAAAAAAGUAAAUAUGAUAAUCUAGACUUAUCUCCCGGGUGAAGUAAUCACAGAUAUCCGUGCACUUGUGGAUUAUGUCUCUUUGAUUCUUUCAUGUGCAUAACUAAUAUCAACAAGCCCCCUAGGAAGCACCACAGCCCUUGGAUCAAACCGACUUAAACGUGCGCUUAAGAUUAAUCCUCAAAGUCGGUGGAGGCAGGAUCCGUGAGGUUCACGGUGAUUGGCUGAGCCCUCCAGGCUGCCACCCCUAACAGGGUGGGGCACCCGCCCCUACCCUAUGGCAGGUGGGCCCCUCCUUUCAGGUGGUGUCUUCCCGAGCCUUAUAGAGUAUUCUUGAGUUGACAUUUAACGUAUUCUCUCUAUGUAAAUUUGAAUUGUGGACCUCAUUUUGUUCUUAUUCCGAUAACCCCCUGCAGAAAUAGACAGUCACCAAAACUUGUGGAACUCUACUAGUGAUAACUCCUAUACCUAGAUAGUAUUCUCAUUUUAAUCCUUUCUCAUGCUAUGUUGACGGUUAAAAAGAGUACUUAUCUACUGUCAACAGUUACUGAUAGAGUUUUCUCUCUAUGUAAAUAUAAAAUGUGUACCUUAUUUUGCUAUUAUUCUAAUAACCUCCUUCAAAAAUAUUCAAUCACCAAAACUUGUGGAAUUCUGUUAGUGAUAACCCCUCUAGCUAGAUGAUAUUAUGAUUUUAGUCCUUUCUCAUGCUAUGUUGAUAGUUAAAAAGAGUACUUAUCUACCGUCAACAAACUCCUCCAAGCUUACCUUUUGCUCAUCCCUGAGCAAAGAUAGAUUUAGUGAUGGAUCAAGAGUUGCUAUAAUACUUUCACGCCUCACAAGUACAUAUGCGUUCAAACAAGGACUCUCCUCCAGAUUAGAGUGAACCAUUCUAACUCAAGACUCACCCAUAUUACCUUUCACCAUGGGGCUUAUAGCUGUCACUUAGGUCUUGAACAAUUGAAACACAGAACGGUUAAGUGAAGCACUAUGUUUCUCGCCCUUUUGAUCAACUAUUAUUCCAGAGUUUUUGCAAGAUUUUUAAAUAAAACUUAGAGAUUCCUUGUAUGACCAUUUUCAGUUUCUCAUAUCUAGGAUUUUUGGAUCCUGUCCAAGGCAAGUAAAUAUGUCUUCUCGCAGAAUAUGGUAUUUAUAUCACUAAGGCAUGGUUGCCUUCUCUCUCUCACCCUACUUCUAGUUGGCUUAUGUGGAGCUCAUAGGUGAGAAAGACAAUUCAAACCUACUUGGAUGUAUUUCAUGGUUAAACCGUGGAUCCAGAGAAACUAAUUAUAGAAUCAAGCCAUAUGUUCAUGCGAGUGCAGUGAAUGAGUGAUGAUAAUAGUGAGGGGUGAUGACUGACGGUGAAUAUCUAAUUCUAUAAUUGCUCCUUGGGGAUAACAUACCUCCCGAAUCUAAAAAUAAGGACUUGAUUGUCUUCCUUUCUUUUGGGACUUUUGUCCUCUUUCUUUUCUUUUCUCUUGUUUAAGAGAUCAGCCAACCCUUUUAAUGCACUAAUAGUAGUAUGGAGUGUCAACUAGAAUAACUUGAGCUUUAUUGGAUAAGUAGAAUAAGACAUAAUUAAAAUAAAUAUUUUUGGGUGUCUUCUCCUAGUGUAGGAGUAGAACAUUUUCUGAGUGGAUGCGGAAUGUGGAUGGAUGAAUGCGUACUCCCAGGGUAGGAGCAGCAUAGGUCCGUGUCUCUAGGAUAGAAGUAGUUUCGAGUGUAGUGCGUAUAUUGGGUAGUACUUCUAGGAACAUACGUAGCACAUAGUGAAUGUGGUGGAUGUAAGUCAUUGAUACUUUUGAUGAUGAGGACCAGGCCUGAUCUUCCGAGAGGUAACUGUUAAAUUUGAUUUGUGGAGAUCUCGACGUUGGCGAUGCGGCUUCCAAUCAGACACGAUUCGAACCCUACAAUCGUUACACCACUGCUCUGUUGGUUAUCAACCAAGCAGGACUUGGUUGACCUCGCCAAGAAGGUUGUUCCUACAAGUGAAUCCAAGAACACAAGCAAGAAGGUAUAAACAUGCAAUCUGAAAUUGUAAAUAUGAAUGACACGAAUAUCAAAAGAGGGUUCAAGAACUUAGUUCCAAAGGACUAAUCGACAUAGUGGAGGAGAUCAAGAACGGGGCCCUAGAUCACUGUAAAAGGAUUUGUCACCACAUUUACAAUAAAUGAUUCAGUUUCUCGAUGGAAAACGAAACUCUAAACAAAACCCAAGUCUAAACAGCGGUGCCUGCGUGGAAUAUAAAAGAGAGGAAUCCUAGGGCUAAAGGUGACCAAGGAGAGGUGCCCAAACCUUGGGCUGAAGGCCGACUCCAUACAUGACCAAGUUGGCCCAAAAUAGGUGACACAACACAUUGUUGUGGUCACACAGAGUAAUCCGAGAUGAUUUGGAGCUGGGACUAGACCCAAAAUGACGGCGUCAUCGUCUCCUUUACAACGAGUCCAAGAUCACCCCGUUUUGAUUCCGUAUGAAGAAGUUAUGAUCGAAACUCUGACGAUAUGUCUACUGAAUCUGAAUGUGACGUGGUAGCUGAGUUGGAGAUGAAUUGCAACUUGAGAAAGAUGAUGGUGUCGACGUGUCUAGUGUGGCGAUGUCCUCAUCAUCCUCCACUUCUUGAAUUGGAGUCGUCCUCGACUCCAUCUUGGUGAUGUUCUCAUCAUCCCCUCCUUCUAGAUCCUGAGUUAUCCUUGACUCUUCCCCAUCAACAAACUCCUACAAAAGGUUAGUGACAGCAGGCAAUGCACCAGACAUAAUAAGUUGACAAAACAUAUUAUAACAUGGUGCAUCUGGAUUAUCAUAUAACUCAGCAGCAGCAGAAGUUGUAGCAAGUAAAGCACCUCAUUGUAACUUAAUCCCAUUAUUUUUAUCAAUGUCUAUUAGAGGUUUAUUGUUAAUCUCCUUAGGAUGUUUAACAAUAUCCUUAGCUGACAAAGACAGUAAAUUAAUUUUCUUGUCCUGAUGCAUGAGUGUAUGCUUUAGUUCUACCAUGGUGUAAAGCAUCAUUAUCAAAUUUCCAUGGACGUCCUAAUAAAAUUGACAAGCUUGCAUAGGUACAACAUCAAAAUCAGCAGUGUCAUGAUAAAUGUCUGUGAAAAAACUAAUACGGACUGAUUUAGUUACCUUAGUCUUACCACUAUUAUUGAACCAUUGAAGUUUGUAUGGAUAUGAAUGUUGUCGUGUGGUCAAGCCAAGAUUCUCAACCAAAUCUGAACUCACCAAGUUGUUGCAACUCCCACUGUAAAUGAUGGUGAGAACAUGACAACCCUGCACAAUGAGAUUAAUGUGGAAAAAUUAUGGCAUUGGAUCUGCAUCUCUUCUUCAUCUUCUAUAUGUGAACUCAACACACGCUGCACAAAAAGGCUAGGAUAGCCUGUGGAGGCAGCCAUAGAGUCAAUGGCGAUGGUCUUCGUGUCUUAAUCGCCCUCGGUGGAAUCUACAAAAAUGUUAGCAGCAAGGGCUAAAUCAUCUUCAACAUCACUAGCACUUACAUAUCCAUCCUCGGUAGCAAUGAAAGCGCAACGACUGGGACAAUCCUUUAUGACAUGUCCGAUGCCUUUGCAUUGGUGGCAAAUGAUUUUAGAGUUGGGUGAGGAGAAGCUAGUAGAAGCACCCGGAGUGGCACUCUUCUUCAGCUGUCGAGGCUGCACAUUAGACAAUUUACUUAUCCCAGAAGAAAAUGCAGGUGUAGAUGGUUGUGGUGCAACAGAAAUCUUAGGCGUUUGUGGCUUACAACGCUACUAAAAAUUACUCUCAUUGUUAGACUUGAAAGACUGGUGUUGUUUGCGUCCCUGUACUUCGUGUUCUGCCUUAAUAGCAAGAUGAUCUAAUUAGGAGAAAUUACACCUUCUUUGUAAUCAAGAAUAUUUUGUAUAUCAUGAUUUAAACCACCAAAGAAUCUACCACUAGCAACAACAUCAUCUUCAUUUACACCACAAUGUGCUAAACCAAUAAGCAAUUCUUGAUAGUAUGCUUCUACUCCUUUAUCUCCAUGUUUUAAAGUUUGUAGUUUAAGACAUAAAUCACGUUGAUAAGAAAGUGGAAAAAAAUGAGAUUUCAUACGUUGUUUUAAAGCAUUCCAAGCUUGAGGCACAACAACAACAUUAUUGAAAGUGCAUCUAGCCCUUUGUGGGUUUUGGUGAAUUGAAUGACAACAUAAUUAAAGAUCUAAUAAGUUUGCUAAGUGUUGAAUAGGAUAUUGAGUCUAUUGCAUAUACUUGUGGAUUGUGUAUGAACAAGUAUAUGCAAGGCUCAACAAGCAGGCCAACUUGAUGAUAUGCCACAUAGUGUUGAAAUGAAGGCCAAUUUGUGUAUUGUUGUACUGGAAGAUUAUGGAAACAAUCUAGCUUAAGCAAAAGACAACAAUGCAAAUGAAAUCUAUGGAAUGGCCUCUAUGUUGUGGGAUAUCAUAGCAUCGUGAGAAAGCAAGCAUACUUGUAAAAUGGCAAAAGAGACAUGAGUCGAUGUUCUUGGAUUGGUCUCUACAAUGGCUUGCUUUUCAUGAACAAGAAGAGUUUGAUAGUGAACUAGGUUUGAUCAAGCUAGAAGUAUGAAGAUAAAGAUUGAAGUGGUAUUGAGUGUCAAGACAAAAUUGAGAGGAUAUAAGGAACUGUGAAUUGGCUUGACCAUAUUGAUGCUAAUCCAUAUAUGUCUCUAUGUGAGUCAAACUGAAUCUUGAUUGAUCUCAAUAUUUAUAUCUAGAAGAUAUUCAAGCAAGGAUCACGAUAUUGAAGAAAUGGUUAUUCAAUGGAUGCUUAAUAUGAUAUGACUUGAGUAUGGCUUGAUAAGGUGAAGAUAGCAAGGAAAGGGCUUCGAGGGACUAAGCGGAGGUGAAGGGAUAAGCGGCGGCUUAAGGACUGAGUUACCAUUGCUAAGGUGAAGAAGAGAGUACUUGCAUUGAGUCGAGGAACUAAUCAAGCUAUGAGGAGUCAUAUUGUGUUGAGAAUCAAAUCAUUAGUAGAAGUGACUUGAAGCCAUGGAGGUGAACUCAUAUGUGUUGAAAUGGGUAAAGUCACAUGCUCAAGGUAUGUUUGCUCAAAGAAAGGAGACAAAGUUGAUUGCAACCCUUCAUGGAGUAAUAUUGAGAAGAAAUGGCAUAUGAAGUCAUUGAAGACUCAAGUGAUCAAAUUAGUUAUAUUCUCUUGUUCUUGAGUAUAGGUAUUGAAAGGAUCAAGAUGCCCAAGAGGGGGGGGUGAAUUGGGCUUUUCUAAAAAUUUAAGCAACCUAUAAGCUCCAAUUCAACCCCUUGUGCCUAGUGUGACCUAGAGAGCUACCGGAUAAAAGUUUUGCAACCUAGUUCCAAUCCUAUUCUAGCAAAGCAAUUCUAAGAAUGUAAAAACACAAAGUAAAUGCUAGAAUGUAAAGGAGUAGUGGAAGAAAGUGCUCGACGAUGUUUCGACGAGGUAUCGGAGAGUCGCCACUCUCCACUAGUCCUCGUUGGAGCACCCGCGCAAGGGUCUUGCUCUCCCUUGGUCCGUGCAAGGACCAAGUGCCAUCUACGGGCUGAUUCUUUGACACUCCGUCGCGGUGAAUCGCCCAAAACCGCUCACAAGCUUGACACGAGCCACCUACAAGAACUCCGGGCGGUCUUCGUGCCUCCAAUCACCACCGAACCGUCUAGGUGAUGGCGAUCACCAAGAGUAACAAGCAAAGAACUCUCACUUGACCCAAACAAUGCACUAGAGAGUGGUGGAUGCACACUUGACUCUUGGAAUUCACUAGAGAAGGAUUCUCUCAAGAAAUCACUCAAAUCUCAAUCCUCUCUAGGCUCUUGCUACUCUCUUGCUCCACAACAAGUUUCUCUGAUGUUCAAAUGGGCAAGAGACCUCUCAUGGACGAGGUGGAGGAGUAUAAAUACUAUCCACGAAGUCCAAAGGUCAGCCAACCGUUUUCCACUGAAAACGGGGUCACCGGACGCACAUUAUGUUGCACCGGACGCACUGCACCGAGCGUCCGGUGCUCCAUAACGGCUAACUGUACUUGCUUCUGACAGGUCACCGGACGCUAACUUCUAGCGUCCGGUGCACCGUCCGUUGCUCUGGGAAGAUUUACAUGCUCCCUGCGCAUGGGACCGGACGCUACCCGGUGCGUCCGGUGCUCGGGGAAGGUUUACAACUGUUGGGUAUUUUAAACGCAAACAGAAAAAUCCGCAAGCGCACGGAUACCGAUGUAGCUUUCACCCGGGAGUAUUCUAGAGUAUCGAUUUUCCACAGAGAACGUGAGUGUACUAAUUAAGAUCCAAGAUCGCCCAAGGAUAACUAUAUAAUUAUUUUUGGUGGGAAGAGAGGAAGUUUCCUGAGAGUUCUCUAGUUGAUCUAAGAAUCAAGAAUUACUUCAAAAUUAUCUAUAUCGGGACAUCAGAGCACUAACCAUAGAAAGAGAUGAGAAGGGGGCUAGGAAGGUCUGACUAUGGUCCUACAAACACCGAUCUGAACGUGGUGGAAUACGUCGACCGUUAGGGCUGUCACUACCCUAAGGCUACCACAACAAUCCGCAUGAUUGGGUGCAAUUCCAGGUAAUUGCAAGACUAAACACCACGUCUAAUCUAUUAAUUACUACUCUAAUGUUUCAAAGAUUAGAGCACUUGAUGCAAGCGGGAAUCCAAUAAAUAACUUGAAUGUAAAUAAAAGUAAUUAGAGAACUCAGGAGUUAUGAGUUGAAGAACCUGGAGAACAAUGAAGAACGAACCAGUUGCUGCAAAAGUACAAUGUUGAGGAAGAUCCGACAGAUCCGGCUCCUCCUUCUCUCUCCUAUUCUCUCUCCCUAUUUUCUAGAUUACAACUAGAACUAACUAGAACUAGAACUAGAGGAACUAGAACUAGAACUAGAUGAACUAGAACUAGAUCUAGAUGAACUAGAGGUAGAACUAGAAGAACUAGAGGGAUCCUCUCUACUUGGAUGACGAAUUGAAACCCUAGCUUUGAUUCUGUAGAAGAGGUAUGAUCUCCAGGGGCCAGGGGGCCUUGCUUAUACAGUCUUUUCAGAUGAAUCUGGGCCGUCGGAUCAAACCGACACUGAUCGUGUGGUUUUCCUUGAAGUAUUAGGUCGGUGGAGCAUGAUCCCCGAACUUCACCCUGAUUGGUCCAGGGGGGAGGGCAGGCGCCCUCAGGACUAGGGCGGGCGCCCUGUCCCUGAGGCCUCUCGUCUUCCGCUUCGGUCCCGUGGCUUCUGGAGUCUUCUAGAUGAUAGAAAAUUGCGCGGCACGUUAAUAUCUCUAUGUAAACCCGACGUGUGGGCCUUUCUUCCGUAUUUCCUGAUAACCCCCUACAAAAAUAGACAAACACCAAAACUCGUGGAAUUCUGUCAGAUAAAACCCUAAGUCUAGGUGUUGGUUGAAUAUAAGUCUUUUUCCAUGAUUAGUUGAUGGUUAAAUGUGAGCAUUAAGGACCGUCAACAAGCUCCCCCAAGCUUAACCUUUGCUCGUCCCUGAGCAAAGUUGAACUCAAAAGUUUCUGCAGUGGUUUCAUGCCUUAAAGAUACAAAUGCAUUCAAAUAAGAUAUCAUCUCUAGGUUAGAGUAAACCGUCAAGACUUAAAACUUACUCAUUUACCUUUCACCAUGGGACUUGUAACCGUCACUUCUGUCUUGAGUAGUUAAAAGAUAGAACAGUCUAGUCAAGCGCCAUGUCUCUUGUUCUUCGAUUAACUAUAGCUCUGGAGUUUUUGCAGAUUUUUAAAUAAAACUCAGAGAUUCCUUGUAUGACUCUCUCUAGUCUCUCUUUUGUGGUAUUUCUGGAUCCUUACCAAGGCAGUAAUGGUAUAUGCCUUCUCUCAAAGUAUGUAGUAUUUUUGGUAUGAGGCAUAGUGGCAUUGCCUUCUCUCUCACCCUACUCUAAUAAGGUUUUGAUAUCUGGAGCUCAUAGGUGGGAGACAGCUAAUACAUACUUACAAGACAUUUAUUGCAUAGUCAAACCAUGGAUCCAAAGAAAGAAGUCAAUAAGUCAAAUCAAGAUGUGCAUGUGUAGCGAAUGAAUGGUGCAUGGUAAUGAUGGUGAUAACAAUGGUGAAAGUCUAAUUCUACUUGUGCUCUUUUAAGGGGAUACAUACCUUUCUUGCUCUUUUGAAACUUUUGGGGAGAAUGAGAUGCUCUAUAUUUUCUUUUUUUUCUCUCUUUUUUUUUCUUUUCUCUCAUGUGGAUAUCUUGUACCCCUAAUUCUACUGUCGGACACUUGUCCAUUUUUACCUCUCGUCUCACUUUUUUUUCUUUUCUUUCGAGGUUCCGGGCACUUGACCCUUUUUAUUUACUCGUAUUCUUUCUCUUUUUUUUUCUUUCUUUUUUUUAGAGCACUCAUCUCCUAAAAUAAUAUAGCAAGUGGUAGUAACCAAGAUAACUUGAGCAUUCAUUUCAUAGGGAAAAACAGAAAUAGGAGAAAGUUUUUGGCUAUUCUCUCCCGGAUUAGGAGUAGAAUAUUUAUGGGUGGUUCUAGAGAUGGAAAUGGAUGGAUAUAUGUGGAUGCGUACUUCCGAAGUAGAAGUAGCAUGUAUGAGUGAACGUGCAAGUGAAUCUUGACUUAACCACAUGACAAGCUCCUAAGGGUCUACACAGCUUGAUCACACUCAAUGCUCAUAAGCAGUAAAGUAAAUGUGUGGCUCAAAGUUUAGCAAGCAUGUAUAUAUGGCUGUGGUAGGAAUUUAAACUCUCAUCAUACAGGAACUCAUCAUGCAACAUUUUAAAGAUUUUUUCAAAGAUAAAUUUCUCCAGAAUUCUAGCAUCUCUAGGAACAGAUAAACAGCAGCUCAACCUUCCCAUAUCAUAUCCGUUAACGACUUAGACUUCAGAUCAAGUACUCUUCCCGCAAGUUCAGGUUUAGAGCAAAUCUUAAUUAAUACCAGUCAUGCCUAAACUUGAGAGAGAUUUCAAUUUAAGAACUAGUCAUAGCAGAGCAACUAUUCAUCAUUUCUAUGUGAGAGAUUAUCAUGAGGGUUCAUAGCAAACUUUAUUUAUUUAUUUAUUUAGCAAACUAAGCAAAGAUAUAUAUAUAUAUAUAUAUAUAUAUAUAUAUAUAAGCACAAAAUGUUUAUUUGGGUUUU